rnacentral:lncRNA from 1 species
CAACCUUUCUGCUAUUGACUCCAGCUUUGAACAACUAAGAACUUCAAGGGACUUAAGAGACGGAGGUAGAUUGCCAACUUCAAGGGACUCAAGCGUGGCAGGUAACUCGUUUUUUGAAAAUAUACAUGUCAGAGAUGGACAUUCGCUAAUAUGCAAGCCCUCGAGAAGAGAUGAGGUGUACCUUCUGCUGCUGCUGCUGCUGCUACUCUGGAUGCCCUCUUCCACUGUCAAAGUCCUUAGAUUAUCACAAUUAUGGAUGUACAACAUCUUAAGGCUCGGUGGUAGCUGGACUCCAGCAAUAUAUGUCAACGAACGGCAACUCAAAAUCUCCAAGAUCUCGAGAGAUGAAUUGGUGUCGCACAUCCAUGCCUCUGGUAACAAUUUCAGUGCAUCACAAGAACUAAUAUGAAUUGUCUUCAACUUGGAAGGCAGAGCAACCUCAGGAAAGGAAACAAGGGAACUGCAUUGGUAGAUUUCUAUCUCUCUCAAGGAGCUAAGGCUGAGCGAUGAUUGUGGCAGCUUCACAAGGUCUUGGCAAUCUCUCAAUUCUAUAUAUUCGAGUCUGCAUGACAACUCGCAGAGCUGCUGUUGUUGGUCUUUCUCUUCCUCCGCCACCAAGGAUUGAAGUUUGGGACAGCUGCCAAUCGUCAAUCUUUUGAGAGAGCAAAUGUCUUGUAGUAAUCCAUCAUGACUCUUCCAUAUAUAUGUUUGCUCUUUUGUCGACAAAAUUAAUUCUUCCAAUUUCUGUAGUUGUGGUUUCAAUGGCCCCACAAGAAACACUUGAUUUGAUGCAUCUCUACAAACCACUGAAUUCUGUGAUCCGAGAUGACCAGUUGCACUUUCCCACACAACCUUUUUGCAUCCACCAAUUUCCAAUUUGCAAAGAGCUGGAAGACUCGAAACUGAAACUAACAAUUCUUCACAUCCUUCAAUAACAAGCAUCUCCAAUGCAGGAAGGUGCUCUGGAAAUGUUCCUUUCAGUUUAGAACAUUUUAAAAUGUGAAGUUCUCUCAAUUUAGGAAACCCUUCAACUCCUUGACUGGAUCCAUGAGGAAUCCAAUCUUCCCAUUCUUGCAUGUUUUCAAAAAGAAGAGUCUUCAAGCAUGGAAAUGGAAUUGGAGAAACAUUCCCAUAGAACUCUGAACCCAACCUCUUUACUCUGCUCAUUCCACAUACUACAAGAUGCUUUAAAGAGGGUAGUUGCCCGACUGACGGCAGGGCAGUACACAUGUCACAAUUUUUAAAUUUUAGGGUCACCAAAUUUGAGAAUGAGGAAUCUCCCAACCAAGUUGGAAAUUUCAUACCUCCAUAGCCUUUGAUACAAAAUUGCUCCAGAUUUGUAUGAGGUUUCAGCAUGUCAAGCAUGCCCAUUUCAGUUUCUGCCUCCCUUGAAGAAGAACCAUCGGUACUGCAAGUCCAUUUAAGCGAUAAUUCUUUCAGAUUCUUCUUUCCAUCCAUUUGAGCUACCAUGGCAUCACCAACGCAUUUUGCAUUCUCCAAUUUUGAAAUGUUAAGUGUCCCAUGAAGGUGCGUCAACAACUUUAGCUCUCGUAACCCGGAACCACUGCCUUUUCCCACAACAAAAUUACACAACGUCUGAAGACUAGUCAACCUACCAAUUCCUAGUGGCAUUUCCUCCAACGACUUCGUAUUUGAAUUCUUAAGAUGAUGCAAUUUGGCGAGGUUUCCCAUGUCUGCACACAACUUCUUCAGCCGAUCACAAUCUUCCAACAAAAGGCUAUGCAAAUUGUAAAGCUUGUUGACUGAGUCAGGCAGAGUUCUAAUCUCAGUUCCAGACAGGUUAAGGUACCUUAAAUACCUCAAAUCACCAACUGAAUCCGGUAGCUCGAAGAUGUGGUAUCCACGCAGAGAGAACGCCCUCAAGCGUUGGGGUUUGAGCAACUUAGGAAGAAUGCUAGGAGCCAAGUAGCCAGGCCCACUAUUUGUCAACAUUACUGGUAAAAAAGUUCUCAAAUGUUGGAUAUCAUACAAGUCCCCGAACCUUUGAACGCCAUCAUAAUCUCCACGAAUGUAUGAUAGGUGACGAAGAUUUCUGGAAAAACAUUGUUGCUUGUUAACCUCCGAGGUAUACUCCAGUGUGAAGUAUGUCUCCCCUGCAGCCCAACGGGCAAGGUCGUUGAUAAGAUCGUGCAUAACAAAUAGUGAUGCAUCGGUGGCCGAUUGCUGCAAAAAAGAUCUUGAACGUAGCUCCUUAAAGAAAUCACGACCUAAAUCUUCACUAGGAUUCUCAUCUUCUUUGUGAUCCAAAAAACCGGAGGCACACCAUAAUAAAAUUAUCUCCUCCUCUUCAAAUUCAUAAUCCUUUGGAAACAAUGAGCAGUAUGCAAAGCAUUGUUUCAAAGUUGGAGGAAGAUAAUAAUAGCUCACUGCAAGGGCUGGUAUAAUGCCACACCUCUUUUCUGAUAAUUCCCAUAUCUUGCUACAGAGCACACGUUCCCACUCACGUCUGUCAUGUUUUCCACGUAAAAGUCCUCCAAGUGUUUGUGCUGCCAAGGGCAAGCCAUCGCAUUUGGUCACUAUCUUCUUGCCGAUUUCCUCCAAUAACUUAUGUGACCCCAAAGAAUGUUGAGCGAAUACAGCCAGACAAUCAUUAUCUGACAACUUUUUUAAUUGAUAAGAUGGAACAGUACCCAUGAUUUCUGCAACCUCUUGAUUGCGAGUAGUGACAAUAAUUUUACUUCCUGGUGCACCAACUUCAAAUGGACGUCUGAGUUGAACCCAAUCAUCGUAAUUCCGGUUCCACACGUCAUCCAAAACAAGCAAAAAUUUCUUUCCAGACAGUUGCUUACUCAGUUCCUUUUGAAGUGAAUUCAAGCUGGGAUCACCCACGUUCUGGCUAGCAACAAUGGAUGUUAAGAUUGUUUUUGUUAGCCUCUUAACGUCGAAAUCAUCAGAGACACAAGUCCAUGCCUUGAGAUCAAAAUGAUCCUGCACUUGCUUAUCAUUGUAGACAAGCUGAGCAAGAGUGGUUUUGCCCAGCCCGCCCAUACCUAUAAUAGGAAUAACAGAGAAUCCACCAUCGUUGCUUAAAUCAUCCCUCAACAGCAGUUCAACAACAUCCUUCUUUUCUGUUUCCCUGCCAUAUACUUUGGCUUCAUCCACCAAAGAGGUUGUCUCUGGCCUUUGACUGGCUUUUUUGGAUCCCCCAGCUGAACUUUCUUUCAAAUCUAGCAAGUUUUUCUUUGUCACAAUUUCUUGAAAUCUGCUGUCGAUCUCUUUGAUUUUGGACAUCAAGUCAUAAUCGAACUGAGUCGAUUGUGGAGUAAAAAUGGUGAAGCAAGUAUGAAUGAACUUCCGAAGCUUACUUGGUCUCGUAUGACUGCUACUGGGUUGAUCAUGAGCAGCAGCUGGUUCUCCAUUUCCAAGCGGCAACCUCCUCCGGAAAGCCUCGGUUUGAAACUCAUCCAACAAGUCUUCAACAUCAUAAGCCAAGUUCUGAAGCUCGCCAAGCCACAAAUUCACAGACGGAGCCGUCCUCCUCUUCUCCUCAGCAUCAUCAAGCACUGCCUUGAUCAUCUCCAACAUAUUCGCCCACCUCAUCAGAUCGGCCUCGAUCUCCUUUUGGCGUGCAAAAAACAGAACCCCCUCUGAAGCUAACUUAUUGACCAGCAAAUCAACGGACGCCGUAAGGAUUGCCUCUCCGAUCAUUGACAUUUUUUUUUCCUUUUUUGGGGCAAAGGAAGAAAGGAGCAGAAUUAUGCGUUAUGGAAAGCAGAAUGAGAAAUUUGAACGGGUGAGAAAAUGGAUAAUUAAGCAGAAUGAGUUUGUGAUUGUGAAGGGUCUGGCCCAACAAGCUUAGUAGAAAUCACGCGUUUAUACUUUAUUGACCAAUGACUAAUAAUUUGCCAAUUCACUCAUCACCACCACUUGGUGAGCAAAAUGAAAAUGCUUAGUAAUUAAACGUGGCAAGUCUCCCCACUUGUUGUUCCUUGCAGCUAAGAAAAGAAAAAACAGAGCCGUAAUUAAUGACAGAAUUUUAAAAAUAAUAAUAAGAGAAAAACCUACACAUUUUCGACUUAGAGUGGAACCGUAAUUAAUGCUAAAAUUUACUCAGCUAAAAUUUUCAAAAUAUUGUUCUUUAUAAUUUUCAAAACCGUAAUUAAGGUUCAUCUCAAAUGUUUGAAGAGACUCUAUCAAUUCUUCUGCGCUAAGAAUAUUAAAAUUCUUAUUUUUUCUUCAAACGUUGAAUAAUGAAAAAAAAUGUUAAAUAUGGAGAAAAAUAGAAUGCAUCCAUCUUUGCUGUAGAAGUCUUCUACUUAUAAAAGCAAGUUAGAAUAAACGAUUUUAAUCUCUCUUUUUAUUCCUGUAAGUGCACUACAUUUUUUUUGUUUUAAUCUCAAUGUGAAGUCGUAUCAUAAUGUUAUGUUAAUGUUAUAUUCUUGUUGGAAAAUGAAAUUUUAGAUAAAACAAAUUCGACUCAUUUGUUGAAGGUAUAUAUUUAGUAGGUUGCUAACAUAAAGUAAAUGAACUAAAAGACAAUACUACCAGCGAUAAUUUAGCAAGUUUCGCAUGCUCGUCUUUCUUGAAAUAUUAUAUGGGAAUGGGAUCAAACAACAGUGAUACAAAGAGAAAAAUGGUAAUCCUCUGAUUGUAUUUUUUUUUUCUUUUUCAAAAGAGAUGGUGGGGUUGGGUUGUUUGCAAAGUUAUUAGUGUGGGUCUAUUUAAAAUGUUAAGAAAUUUUAUGUCCUUUUUUCAAAGUGAAUUUCCAUUUUUCAUUUCUCAUUAAGUAAAACCCACAGCAAAAUUAAAAAGAAAAAACAGAGCCCACUAUAAAUAUAAAAUCGAAGGAGCUCAUAAUUAUACCUUUGCUUUACAUACUAAAUUAAAUAAAAGCCGAACCAAGAAUCUUGCCUUUACUUAACAUGAUUAAUUAGACACUACUUCAGAGAGAAUACGAAAGCAAAGAACCCUUUUGUUAAUCUUAAAUGUUAGGAAAAUAAUUAGCUUGGAAUAAAGCUGCGUUAUUCUCCUCUUACCGUCUCUUCAGGUUCAUUUCAAAAGUUUGAAGAGAUUUUAUCAAUUCUUCUUAUAAAGGCAAGCUAAAUUAAAAGAUUUUAAUCUCUCUUCUUAUUACUAUAAGUGCACUGCUUUUUUUUUAUAAUCAACAAUGUCAAUUUGUAGUGUAAUAUUAUAUUCAUAUUCCUGUUGCGUCGAAAUAAGGUAAAAUGAAAUUUUAAAUCACACAAAUUCGACUCGUUUGUUAAAGGUAUAUAUUUAAUAAGCUAAUAACAUAAUUAACAUAACGCUAUUAUUACACUAAAUGAAAUAAAAGACGGUACCCUCCACCAAUAAUUACAUUAGCAAGCUUCGCAUGCUCGUGUUUCAGGACCUAGACAUUGGCGAAUUAAUCUAGGAUAACGAAACAAUUUCAAAAAGCAAAAUGGAUACUAUACAUUUUCUUUUUUUAAUUGUACAGAAAACGGGACUAAUUUUCAAAUAUUUUUAAAUUCACUUAUUUACAAAAGCUAUACAAAAUGAUUUCCUUUUUAUUUUUGAUGAGCAUAAUUUACAUACAUAUUUUACUAUUUAUUAUAUAAUUACUAGUUAUUUUUAUUUGUUAUUUUAAUUAAUUGAAUUAUUUUAUUUCAUAGGAAAUUAAUUGGAGAUUAUGGAUGAAAAGUGCGUAAAGAAUAACAAUUUGACAGCAUUGAAGAUCAAAUCAAUUUGCGGAAGGAAUUAAGCAAAUGUGCAAGAAAUUCUAUUCGAAGAAACCGAAGCCAAUAAAUUGAAUAUCCAUACUCGUGCAAACAAAGAAGAAGUUUAAAACUAAAGUGGGCAGCACAUUAAAAAAAGCUUUUAAUUAAGUCUUUGAAUGGAAAGUCAAAAUAGAAUAAAGGAAGGAAAUCAAUAGCUUUUGGCUUUUAUUGUUUUCAAUUACGUGGCAGGCUUAGAGCUUUAGCUUGUAAGAGUUGGUUUGGUUAUUAUCACAAUAGGAUUUGGUGGCCAAGCAAUAUAAAAGGGAGUUUUGCUUUUGAAUUAAAGGCUGGACGGAAACAAAAGGGAGGAGAAUUCGGCUUUGAACAGAGAGCAGCGGCAACGGCAAUAUUUCGGCUUCCAUGGCUGAAUUUAUUUCUUUUGUUGCUCACAAUUUAAGUAUGUCUAGCUAAUUUUCUUAUACUGAGGUUAAGGAUGAAACCCUAUUCAAUGAAAUAAUUAUCUUUUUAUUUAUUUAAUUCCCUAUAUAUGUGCUUUAAUGUUUAUGGUUUUUAUUUCACAUGAUUAAUUGGACGUUAUUAAAAUCUUUUCAUCAAUUCUGUCAUGCAUUAUUAAUUGUUAGGAUUAAUAUUCAAUUAAUUCUAUACUUGGAUCUAUAAAGUUUAUACAUGAUUAUCUUUGAUUUUAUGUCUUUCAUUAAAUUAUUUACAUAGAGUGCUUAGGAAAACUUUGACUCUUUGUUAUUUAAUAUGUUUACAUGAGAUGCUUACAUGUCAUACUAUUAAGUAGAAAAAGAACCUACAUUACAUUUAAUUUUAAUUGGGCUUAAUUGUUAUAUUUAUGAGAUGACAUAGAUUGAUUUUGAGUUGUCACUCUAAAAUUAGGGAUUCAUUAAUAUUUGGAUAAUUACAAAUUAAAUAGUGGUGGAUUCCGAAACCUUGAUAAUUUUUAUUUUAUUGAUUUCUCAUUUGCUUUAAUUGUUUUCUUAGUUUAAUAAGUUUAAUUUCUUUUAAAAAUUCAAAUUACUCAACUAAGUUAGGAUUAAUAUUAAUUUUAGAUUUAAAUUAGACUUUUCAAUUUAUAACAAUCCAUGUGGGAUUGACCUCGUUACUACUAUUCUAUUUCUAGAUUCAUGCGCUUGUAAGUAUAUUAAAACUUUCACAACAAUUUUGAAAGGAAUCAAAUAACAGUGAUACAAAGAGCGCAAAGUUGCAAUUCUCUUAUUAUAUUUUUUCUCUUUUUUAAAAGGAGAUAGUGGGGUUUGGUUGGUUGCUAAAUUAUUGGUGUGAGGGUCUAUUUGUUUUUGUUUUCACUUUAUUAAUUAUACCAAGCAAACAUGUAAUCAUUUGUAAAGGGGUCACUAGCAUUGGAUUAUGUAAGAUGAAUUCAUAAGACUUAUUAAUUUCGAUGAAAAUGUAGCGUUAUUAAGUUGUCAAUUCAUUAACUUGAGGUACUAAUAUUUACUAAUUGUGGUGAUUAAUUUAUUUAACUUGUCAUAAUUUUCAAUUGAGAAUGAAGUUCAAUCAAUGUAUGAAAAAAAUAAUUUUUUUAGAUUUUUAAUUCCUAUGAUUUAAUUUCCCCCUGUUUCGAUUAUUGACGUGUUAAAAGCUUGUAGAAUAUCAUGAAAUGCUUGUAUCUCACCUCGCAAAUUGACAAAUAUUGGUUGGUUUCUCCAAAGGCUACCAUAAUGAAUUGAAAGUAAAAACAACAACCAUUGAAAAUUAAUUUUAAAAUCAUUUUUACUUGAAAUUUUUUAAAAGAAAAAUUAAGCAAAUUAGAUUACAGAUAUCAAUCUUAAUAUUUUGUUGAUGAAAAUUAAUUAAUUUAUCUCAGUACUUUCUUAAUUUUGUGUUGUGCACCGCAUUGGUCACUUCUGAUUGUGUUGCAUAUUUGUUAAUUCAAAGAAAUAGAACUUCUUUAUCGAUCAAACUUAUUUUAUUAGUAUUCUUCAUCAUAUGGUUAAUGGCUUAGCCAAUGAAGGAGAAGGGGUCAGCCAAAACAAAUAAAGUACUUUCUCAUGCAUUAACCUUUAUUAAAAAGCUUUAUUAACUGUUGUAGUUAAAAUAAUUUUAAAACAAGUUAAAACAGUUCCAACUCAAAAUCAGUAGGCUGCAAUUGGGUUGUUACACAUAUUUCUAAAUUUCAGUCUAAUUUAAUUGUGUAUGGACAAACUAACUUUAUCACUUCUUUCAUAUUAAUACUCAUAAAUUUCAACCUUUUUUUAUGAUGAUGGACAAUCUAACUUAACAAAAAUAAUGUUCAAAUUAUCACAAAAUGUUCUUUUCUUAAAAAAGAAAAGAAAAUCAUAUAUAGUAGUUAAUUUUUCUUCUUCUGUACUCCAAGAUCCAACUCCGUACUCCACUUGUUCGUUGUUAUUAUACCCAGCCAUUAGAUUUUAAUUACGUUGAUUUAACGGUUUGGAUUCGUAAAUGAAUAACGACGUAAAGUUUGGCUACCAUCUGAACCCACCGCAUCUAAUUGGUUUUGUGAUUUUUUGCUUUCUUCACUGCAACGCUUGACUAGUUCUGGAAAUAUCGACCGCCAUCAACGGCAAAUCUGAACCAUGUAUUAUUUGCGAAUACAUUCAUUAAACUAUUAAACAUUCAGAGAAGAAAGCAAACCGUGGCAGUAUAACAAAAACUGCGAAUGGUCAUUCCCAACACGAACCCCUAUGGUUGUUUUCCUUUUAAUUUUCUUCUUUGAAUUCUCCUUUUAUUAAUCAUUAGAAAAACUCCAUUUUUUUUGUUUUAAAUCAUGUGUUAUUAACAUUUACAUGGUUAAUGUCAUCGAAAUCGAAUGGUUGUUAUCUACGAAAAGAGAAUUGCUAGAAAUUUUGUUAGUCCCAUUGCAACAAUAUAUUGUUAUAAAUUGCAUUGUUUUCCAUAUAACAAAUAUAAUAAAAUCUCAAUAAAUUAAUAGUUUUUGGGACCAUAAAAAAAUUAUUAAAAUUAAACAAAUAUCAAUUAAUCAGUAAAUUAAUAAAUUAUUAAUUUAUGAAAAUAUUCAUUAUUUUGGAAAAACAUGAUCACGCUUUUAAUAUUGAUUUACCUUGAGUUAGUAUCUAUUAGGUUUUAUUUGUCUAUUAGUUUUCUCUUGGGAAGAUUUUUUAAGAGUUAGCUGCUUUAUAUUAACAGUAAUAAAAUUAUUAUUUAACGGUUUUGUUUUUCCAUGCUAAAGACCGAUUAGUCGUCUUCUUCUCCUCAGCAUCAUCAAAACCAGGGUUUUUAACUCCUAAAACGUUUCUUUUUAGAAAUAUAUUACUUUAUUCAUCUAAUAUGUUAUCUAACAAAUAGACACAGAUGAAAUCACUCUAAAGUGAAGAUGAAAGGGGAAAAAAAACAUUCCAACCACCAAUAAUUUAGCAAGCUUCACUUUUAUUCCACCAAAGUGUAAAUAGUGCCAGCCCCCACCACCAUCAAUAAUUUAGCAAGCUUCACACGCUUGUUGUCUUCUCCUUGACGAACUGGACGUGGGUGGACCAAGAAUCAAUGAAAGAAUUUUAAAAAUAAUAAUAAAAGAAAAACAUAAACAUUUUGGACUCGGAGUAGAACCGUAAUUAAUGCUAAAAUUUACUCCGCUAACGUUUUCAAAAUAUUGUUCUUUAUAAUUGUACAGCAAAUAAGACUAAGUUUUGGACAUUUUCAUAUUCACUUACUUUCAAAAGCAGUAUUUCGAAACAUUUUACAGAAUCAAGUAACAGUUAUAUAACGAGAAAAGUGCAAAGUUGUGUAAUUCUAAUGUUUUUUUUUUUUUAUCACAGACACUCAGAUAAUUUUUUAUUUGGGUCGCCAACUCGCCAAUUAACCCAUGAUUGAAUGAGUGUUUAGAAAGAAAAUCAAUAAAAAACAGUUUUUUUUUUGGUCGUCGAAAUAUAGUAAGUGAGAAAGAUUAUUCUGUUUUUUUUGUUAAUUAGGUUAGUAAUUAUGAUUGAGUGACUCAGAACUAUAUUCUAGAUUGAGAAUCAACGGUUCUCCCACACUGAGAGGCUGUAAGUUUAAGAUUGUCGUUUGCUAUUUCAUCGACAAGAGAACACUUGAAUUUAUUAAAAGGAGAAGGCCAUAAAGAUUUUCCUUUAUGAGAAAUGUAUCUGAUCAUUCCUUUUUACUUGAAAAUUUCAUAUAUAAAAACUCAUUAAUAAAUGACAGAAUAUACAUAAAUUAUUAAUUCAUUUGAUAGUUGAUUAUCGAAGGACAUGUGACCCAUGGAAGCAUGCAGUCUAUAAAAUAAUUCUUUUUUUUUUUUAACAAAAAAUUGGUGAUGUUGAAAAGCAAAAUUAUUAUUUCUCUAAUUAGGGUGAACAUUCAUAAAAAGAAUGCCGUAUGAAACUAAAUUAUUAAUUCGUUUGACAUGUGACCCACAAUAAAUAGUUAAAUUUGGCGGCAACAAUAAUUACAAGACGAACUUAAAGCAGCGCAUAGGUUUUUCUUAAAAAUACAUAAACAAUUCGAUAUUUUUUAUUUGACAGUUUUUAAGAAAUGUCAAACAUAUAUGACAUUUUGUGAAAAACUGAGUAAUUGUGAAAUAUAAAUGAUAAUUUAUUUAAACGUCAAAUAAUUGUGACGUUUUAUCAAAUAAGUGAUAAAUAUCUUACAUAUUUAUUGAAUAAUUAUCAUUUACCUUUUCCUUUUAUUGACUCGAGCAAAAAAAACAAAAAAACUGACUAUACUGCUUUUAUUUUCGUUCUUAGAACAGAUUUUAGUUUCUUUUGAGAAAAUUCAAACUCAUUCCCAUUACUUUCUUUUCAAUAAUCACCUCUCAGUUUUUCAUCAAUCACUCAAUUCCGAAUUUCAUCUCCAUUCUCUUUUGAAGAAGAACGCACGAAGAAUUUUAGCUUGCUUUUGCUGCUUCUCGAAUAUUGGGUAUUGUUUCCUUUAAUUUAGAUAAUUGUUUUUUAUAUCUCUCUUUCUAGUUUGAUAAUUUAUGGUUAUACUUGAAUUAAUUGUAUUUUUAAUCAACCAAGGUUGAUUUAAUUGAUUCCAAGUCUCAAUUUCCUGUUCAACAAUUUUCAUACUCAAUUUUGAAAGAAUCAAUGUAUUUUAUCUUUGGUUAGUACACUUCUGUUCAAUUUUUGUUUAUUUAACUUAAGAUAUCUUUUUCUUUCUUUUCUUCAAGCAAAUUAUAGAUUAUAUUGAGAACAGAGUUUUCUCCUUAAUUCCGCCAAGAGCAACGUUGAUUUCAGGUGAUAAUUGAAUGUGUAAUAUUUUCAAUUGAAAUUAAUUGAGUCUCGUGAUAAUAAUAGGGAUUUGAGAUUUACAUCCUGUUGAAAUGAUUUUAGAGUGUUCUGUUAUUUGAAUGCGCAUUAAUUGUUUGAUUAAAUGUCUCUUUAAAAGAUUAUUUUUGUUUUUAGCAAACAUCUUAAUGCACUUUACAAAUUGAAUCCAACAAGGGAAAAUUAUAGAACUGCAGCAGUUUUCAAAUUGAUUGCAUAUUAGAAGUAAUGUUAAUUUAUGCUGCAACAGUUCAAUGGGCUGGGCACAAGUUUAGGACUUCAGUUGCUCAAUUAAUGAAUCCACCACUCAUCAGACUUGGAACUUAUAUCUAUUGAAUCAAUAAAAAUAGUUGAUGGAAUCAAUGCCGAAAGCUUCAUUUGAUAUUUAUUUAUAACAUCUGUUAGAUUCUGGACAAUCACAAAGAUAUAGUAGCAGAAACUAUGUUAGAGACACUAUAGUUGCUUAAUUAGUGAAAUUGUGCUCUCAUUGCCCCCUUUUUUUGGUUGAUUCUAUAAUUUUAUUAGUUGUUCUUGUGGUUGUAAACAAUAUCAAUUUCUAAUAUUAAUAAAACUGAAUGAAUAAAAUGCGAUGCAUUUGCAGGAAAGUUAAUAGUUUAAAUAUGGAUAAAUCUUGGAUGUUGAUGGAUAGAAGGUCUAUAGAAUAUGAGAACAUGGUAAAUGAGUUUCUCAAGUUUGCAGUACUUCAUGCUAGUCAUCUUGAGCUUUUGAGAUGUCCAUGCCAAGCAUGUCUUAGUUUAUAGGCUCAAACAAUUAACAGUAUAGAAAAUGCAUGAUAGAACACAGAACUCAUAUUUUAGCAACAAUCCUCAGCUCACUGGCCCUUAGUUCAGAAUGACAAUUCUUAUUAGCCAAAGGUUCAAAAUGAUUUUUAGUUGUUUAUAAGUAGAGAACUAGAUCAACAAAUAAUUGAAGACCUGCAGCUUGGCUAUUGAACUAUACGAUGAUGCCAAUUCGAAGACUACAACUUGGCUCUGCCAUUCGAAGUAAGCAACGCAGCUGCCCAAAGUCUGCCAAACCAAGAAAAAUAAAGACUUCUCCUUAGCAAUUAAGUUAAUAUAAGGAAUGUUGCAUGUCCACAAAACUAGGUAGACGCAACUGGGACUUCAAUAUAUAUAUAGAUAUAUAUAUAUAUAUAUAAGCAUUUCCUAGAUCAAUAUUAUUCUCAGUAACUGAAUAUUGAAGCUGACCAUCACAUUUAAUAAUAAAUCAAUAUCAGGAAUGUUGUUGAGGAGUAUUUUGAUAUUUACAAAAGUGUUCAAAGUAAAAAUUGAUUUCUUAAAACCCAUUAGCUAGCGCACAUAAUAAUGGGGAGAAAAUUUUAGACUACGAAUAGUCCCACCCAUUUAAUAAUAUUCUUCAAUCAAUUAUGUUUACUUCAAAAAAAAAAAACCAUCUCUUUAUUACUUUCUAACUAUUCAUAUUAAUGUGUUCAUAAUUAUGAAGAACCGGUGUAAUUUAUAUGAUGUAGGAAGCACAUUAGUCAAAAUCAUCAGAAUCUCAAAAUUUCGUGAUGUUGUGCCAAAUAUGCAAACCAAAGCUUCCUACAUUCUUUGUACGUUUGUGUUAGUUACAAGCAAUCACAGUGGUAAACGAAAAAAAACGAAUUAAAACACAUGAGGAGAUUUAAAUGAAAAUGUCUUAAUCAUAUAUCGCAUGUAAGACCUUUUGUACUCAAAACUGAUCAGCACCCAUUCUGCCCGCCGUGUGAUCACAUCUUGAAGGGAGUGUUGCUUCAGCAUUUUUAUCAUUUUUACUAUUUCUAGGAUCCAUUUUGUCACCUCCCUCCCUCCCCCCGGUUUCUAAAAUAAUUAUAUAAUAACCAUAUAAUUAUUGGUUGUUCUAGCAAAUAAAAAAAAUAUAUAUAUAUAUAUAUAUAUUAAUCUUUUAAUAACAUUAUCACUUUGUCAAAAUAAAAAAUCUCCUCAUUAAAUAAUUAUAUUAUAUAUAUUCAUUUAUUUAUCCAAAUAAAAAAGUAUGAAGUCAAAUAGUACACAAUAAUUUAACUAAUUUGAAUUGGUUUAUUUUUAAUGAAACAAAUAACAUUCCUAAAUGCUUCUCUUGAUCCUUAAUUUAUUGAUAAUUUUGUCAAUUUAAGGUCGGCUAUAUAUUGAUUAAAUUACAAGCUUAGACUAUCGAAAGCUGGUUACAGUUAUGGAGGCAGGAAAAAUUUUAUUGUACCAGAAAUUUUUUCUACAACAGUCCAUGCAAAGUAAACAUUUGUAAGGAAAUUGGAGAAUAAUUACAAAGCCAACUAAAUUUUAUGAGAAUCAAUUUGGAGUUUUUGUUAAUCGCCAUUUUGCGUUCAUACAAAGCAAGUGUAGAUACCGGCACAAUAAGCUAAAUGCAAAAUCCAAUGUAGGACAGUGGGGUUGGGACAACGAAAUGGGGAAAUGGGAAUCUAGGUAAUUGCACUGAACCUUAAACUGAGAGUACGGGCACUUAAAAUUUUUAAAGUGUCUAAUAAGUUUCAGCUAAAAAGGAAAUAGGCUGUAAAAUUGCUAAAUUCAUUUUGAUUUCUAAAUUCAUAAAUAACCUUAAAAGUUCUCUGAUACAACUUGUCAAUAAUGGUGAAAAUUCAAUUUCAGAAUGACAAUUCUUAUUAGUGAAAGAAUCAAAAUGAUUUUUAGUUGUUUAUAAAUAGAUCACUAGAUCAACAAAUAAUUGAAGACUGGCUUGGCUAUUGAACCAUACGCGGCAAUUCGAAGACUGAAACUUAACUCUGCCGUUCGAAGUAAGCAACUCAGGUGCCCAAAGGCUGUCAAGCCAUCAAGACAAUACGAAGAUACAACAUCAAUAAUAAUUACAUAUUACACCUACCCCAAUAAGAAAUUAGUUAAUACAGUCCUAGAAAGAAAUUUACAAACCCAUGCUGUAGGAAUAAUUAAUUAAUUUAUACAGUUCGGUACUCAUUCCUCUUCUGUUUCAAAUCCAUAUCCACUGCUCUGCCAUUUAUUACUACGCAAGGUAUAUGGGUUAGCAAGUGCCGACAUUGUCCUCCAUUCUUUAUGUGCCUUUCUUCUAUCAAGGGACAACCCAAGAUCUCUAAUCGCAAGAAAAAUAUUUCAAAGUAAAAAGUGAUUUCUUAAAAUCUAUUAGCUAGUGCACAUAAUAAAAGGCCAUUCAUGGUAAAUUUUAGAUUACAAGUAGUCCCAAUAAUAUUCUGCAAUCAAUUCCGUUUAUUUUAAAAUAAAAGAAAUCCAUCUCUUUAUUACUUUCUAAUUAGUCAUAUUAAUGUGUUAAUAAUUGUGAAGAACCAGCGUAAUUUAUAUGAUGUAGGAAACCCGUUAGGCAAAAUAACCUGAAUUUUUUAAAGUAGGGGCUAGACAUAUUGGGCAUAACCUCAGUUUCUGUUACUUCUUUGACCCUGCCUAAGCUCUUUUAUGGGCUAAUAUCAAAAUUUCGUGAUAUUGUGCCUAAAGAGCUUCCAAUUCAAGGAGCUCCCCUGUUUUUGACUGAAACAUAUGUAAUCCGAAAAAUUUAUAAUUAGAUAAAUCAUUCAAAAUCUCCCUGAAUCUAACCCACAUUUCUAUGGUUUAAUAACAUAUCACAAAGGUGCCUAAUAUAAUGAAAUUAGCACUAGUUCACGAGAUUGCCAUUAUAUAUUACAAGUCUUUUUAUGAUGUAGAUUAGAAGGGAAAAUACGAAGGACAUAUUAUAUAUUAUAUAUGAUUGAAUUUAAUCCAUGAUAAUUAGACAAAAUAACACUAAUCUAGCUAACUAAUCCACCCAUCAUAAUAAUUUGAUUUUCAUUAUUUUAUUGUGUCCAAUCAUGCUAAUUUAAUAAAAAAAAUACAGAACACUUGAGGAUUUAGAUAUUCAACAACUUUGGCCAAGUUUGAAAAAGAUUAGAGCUUCCUUCAUGCUUUGUGUUCUUAUGUUACACAUGAUCAUAUUAUGUUACAUUUGACAGAAAACUGAAAAUUAUUGAAAAAAAAAAAUCUUAGUUAGCACAUGAUCAAAAUGAGAGAUUAAUGCACACACAUCACAACAAUGUUUCAUUCAUUUUGAAUCUAUAUUUACAAAACUUGUAUCCGAUGGUUUACAUUUGUUUAAUCUAACUGCUAUGACAUGUGUACUGUCAAAACGCUACAGCUGCCAUCUCUGUUUGUCCUUGUUGCAUCCUUGAUCUUAUAUUAUCCUGGAGAUUAUUGAAUGUUCUUCUCAUUCUCAUGUGCUCGAGGGUCCUUUCUUGAGACAUUUCAGCAAACACCUGAUUCAUCCUAUUAAACAUUAGCAUCAUUAAUCAGUAAAUGAUGUAAGGUAGCCCUGUUUCGUGAAGUCAACAUAAAUCAGUCACCUUAGAUUUUCUGAGUCUCAGAGCACAAUGGGUGAUGAUUUGAUGAGAAAUAUUAAUAUGCCUUCAUCCCCUGAAUUAGCUAGAGCUGGUUGUCAUUUUCUUCUUUCUUUUGGUACGGUUUUAGAUUUUUAAUCAAUCAGAUUCAGCUGCAUGUUUGCUUUUAGUCCAAACCAAAAUAAGAUAUUAAGUACUUUUGCCAGAAUAGACGCAACCAAAAUUCUAUGGGAUCUGUAGUUCCUAGUUCAUGCAGAAGCGACCGAAUGCUUCCUGCAACUCAGGCAGAUAGAACCUUGGUUGAUUCGUUUUUCUUCAUCUGAAAUUCUACCUAAUGCCUAUCCUCUUAAUUGGUUUAAAUUCUUCUUUUUUUUCUUUGAAUUGUUGAUUUAUAAUGUCUUGUAUGCAACAUUUAUAAUUUCGGAUGAUGAUAAUCUUGUUUAAGAAGAGAUUUCUAGUUACGGCAGCAGCGUUCUUGAUCAUGGCAUCACAAGCACGUGCUCUGGUUUGCUUAGUUUCCUUUUUGUCUCUGAUAUUUUCUUGGCAUUGUGGGAUAUUGUUUCUCUUUUGAUUUUCUGUUUUUGUUUGCUUAGUUUCCUUUUUAUGUCUGAUAUUUUCUUGGCAUUCUUGUUCUCUCUUAUAAUAAAGUGCUUUUGAUAAAUUCGCCUGGUCGGUUUACUUCACUAACCAUUAAUGAGCAAAUCCUCCCAGUGACUCUCAAACUCUUCUACACAAUUAUAAUAAUUUCAGUUUUACAUAUACAAAAAUGAACAGCUCUCAAACAUAUCAUUUGAUAAUGACAAAAACAAUAAUUCACUCCAAUAAAUCUCAUAAUAAAUACAUGAUCUACAUUGCAAGUCUUUUUAGGACGCAUUCAAAGAGAAAACAUAAGGAAUGGCAAUGCAAGAAUAUGGAAUCAGAAUAACAGUGAUACAAAGAGAAAAAAAAAGGGGAUGGUCGGGUUGGGUUGCUUGCAAAAUUAUUGGUGCGGGGGUCUACUUGUUUUUGUGUCACUUUAUUAAUUAAUUACCGAAGCAAACACGUCAUCAUUUGAAAAAGAAUCACUAGCACCAGCUUAUGAAAAAUAAAUUUGUAAGACAUAUUAAUUUGAAAAUAUUUUGGAAUUUCAGUCUAAGUUGAUUUGUCUAAUUAUGUAUGCACAAACUAGCUUGACCACUUCUUUCAUAUUGAUACCUAUAAAUUGCAACCUUAUUUUACGUUGAUGCACAAUCUAACUUAACAAAAAAAAUAUUCAAAUUGUCACAAAAUAUUUUCUUCUUAAUAUAUAUAUAUAUAUAUAUACAUACACACAGUAGUUAAUUUUCCUUAUUCUUCACUCCAGGAUCCAGCUGCAUACCCCUCUUUUUUGUCGUUAUGUUGCUCAACCGUUAGAUUUUAAUAACGUUAAUCUAACGGUUGAGAUUUGUAAAUGAAUAAUGAAGUGGUGUUUGGCUACUAUCUGAAAAUAUCGGCAGCCAUCGACGGCGAAUCUGAACAAAGGCAACAGGAGGUGAUCGUGGUGAAAUUGUUUUUUGGCAUGCGAAUCUAACGACUUUCAAAUACGUUCAUUCAAAUAUUAAAUGCAAUUCAGGCAAAUAGAAACUUGGUUGAUUGAUUGCUUUUCAUGUGAAAUUCUACCUAAGGGCUAUCCUUUUAAUGGUUUGUACUGUCUUAUAUGCAAAUUAAAUUCGGAAUUCGGGUGAUAAUAAUCUUGAUUUAGAACAGAUUAGGUAACAUGUGGCAUUCUACAUUCUUGCAAUGCCAUUUCUUUUUAUGGCAGCACCAUUUUUUAUCAUUGUUUGUGUGGACCUAUUUGCUGAAUUCAAAACUUGGCGUGUUAAAACGGCAUCGUUUUGUCCAUUAAGAUGUUUCAAGUUGUCCCCGGCUGGACAUAUGACUCACUUAAUGAUACCAAAACGGCGAGGCAUGAAGGUGUUUCGGCUAAGGGCUUAAGUUCUGCAUGUGACAAGCACGUGAGAGAAGAAUCAAGUUAGUUAUAAGUUGUUAUACACGUGGCUGGAUCUGGUGCAAUCUGGGGUAAUGAACAGCCGUUAUAUAAGCUGAGCUUUCAGGCAGUUUCAGCAAGAUGUAAAGAGCUUCUAGAGAGAAUGAAGAGAGAGAAAAUGUAUCAUCUUAUUCCUUGUUAGUUUCUCCGUGUGAGCUCUGUAAAAUACUUUGAUUCAUAAAUAAAACUCAUUUUAGUCGAUUCUCCCUUGGAUGUAUGUUCUGCCUCAUUGCACAGCCGAACCACGUAAACAGUGCUGGUUUCUUUUUUUUUCAUUUGUGUCUAUCACUAAAAAGCAGAGCACUUGCUUGAUUGAAUAAUGUCAUAUUACAUCACAUAAACUCUCUCAAUUAUUGAAAAAGAAAAUCGUAAAAGAGAUGUGUUGAAUUGAUAACUGAAAAAAUCUUAAAAAAUCUUCAAAGUUUUCAAUUAUUGAUAACUGAAAAUUAUUGAAAAAAAAAAUCUUAAAAGAGAUGUGUUGAAUUGUGAAAUUAAAACUGAGUUUCAGACAUUUCUGACAUGUCGGUUUAUAUUCUUGAUUGUGCAUGCCCUGUCGGUUGCUUGAUGAAACAGGAGAAUAUUGACAUCUGUGUAUUAUCGUUUACUUCCUGCAAUUAAAUCACAUGUUGUUCACGUGAUUCCAUUUGCUCUAUGCGGCACAUUUGGCAGUCGUUUAGGUCACUUACUGAAGCACGGGUUAAGUACUUGAUUCAAGGUUGUUAACUGACCUUUACAAGGCGGGAAAAACAAACCCGGAAUGCAGCUAGUGAGUGGGGGACUUUUCUAGACUCUUCAUGAUAUGUAUAUAUAGUCUUAGAGGCUAUAGUUGAGACAUAUGAAAAGCUUGUAACUUCUUCUUAAUGUUUGUAGUUUGAUCUCGGUGAUGGAGAUAAGAUUGCUGCCCUGUUCUCCAGGCCGAACCACUUAAAAUGUGCCUCUGUUUUGCUUGAUGACUACCAGUGGUGAGAAAACAGCUACAGAACAAAUCAAGCUUGAUGACUCAAAUAUUAGGGAAGCCAUAGUCAAGGCAUCUGGUUUAUGCAUCAACAGUGGUUCGUGGACUAGAAUUCUUAGCUAUUGCCGCUUCACAAUUGCACUGGAAGAAAGCGAAUUUGAUCGAGCUUUGGAUCGCAUAGCUAAAUUCAAAAGCAUCGUACAAAUAGUUAACUCAAAAACGGUAUUGUCAUUUGUCAUGAUUUAUUUCUAUUGCCUGAUGAUGAUACCCAUCACGCCUUAGUUGUCGUGAAUAAAUCUAAAAUCAAAUUGAACUGGCUUUUACUGGUUAGCAACAUUUGUGACGUUUUGAGAUUAUAAUAUAUGACAACACUGAUUAGUGUUGUCUCCCAUGUGAAUUGAGACAAAAAUUAUUUUCCCAAUUGCGCUUUCAUUUGAACAAUUCCACUGUAGAUUUAUAAAAUAAUGAUCAAAUUGUGUUUUAUAUUAAGUUACGAGUAAUUGGUUAAAUAUUAAUACAAAACUAUUUUAAGUAACAUGUGGCAUAUUCUAAUUCUAGCCAAGCUUCCAACUAAGAUUCCCAAAUCAAAAGAAUUUCAAUCUUCAGAACAUUCUGCAAAACGUUUAGUUUCUACGCAGUGCUAGAAUUUUCCCUAAGUUUCUAUCGCAAAGACUUCUAAAGAACUAUUCAGAUAUCGAGCUAUAAUCCAGUCUAAAGUGUAUAUAUCCCUCUAAUUCACCUCCCUCCAUUUCACCAGAAAAUCAACAAACACUUAGCUUCAAACAAACACUCUAAAAAAGCUAGCUAGCUAUUCAGAUGGCAAAACCAAGAAUUCUUGCAAUGACAAUGUUGUUUCUUGUUAUGGCAGCAACAUUGAUGAACAUGGCAUCGCAAGCAAACGCUCUGAUGUCGUACACACAAUCACCUUUCAGGGUUCUUGAACAAACCCCUUUAACAAUCGCAAAACGAGCUGAUCAUCAUCAAACUCUAGCCCCGGCGAGAACAGACUAGAUGGAGACACCAACAGCCCACGUGAUCACGCUCGACAUUCCAGGGAUGAAGAAAGAUAAUGUAAAGAUUGAAGUUGAAGAGAACAGAGUACUGAGAGUGAGUGGGGAGAGGAAGAGUAAUGAUUAUUACAAGGAGGGAGUUGAAGGAGAGAAAUGGCACAGAGCUGAGAGGACAUUUGGCAAGUUUUGGAGGCAGUUUAGGAUGCAUAUGAGUGCUGACUUGGAUCAUAUUAAGGCUCACAUGGAAAAUGGGAUUCUGAGGGUCACAGUGCCAACGCUUGCUGAGGAGAAGAAGAGGCAGCCUAAGGUUAUUAACAUUGAUGAAGAGUCUGGUAAUUCUUCCAAUGAAGAUAUUAAGGCUACCAAGGCUCAAAUGUAAUUGAUUAAAGAAAGAAGUGAUUGCUUUGCUUGAUGUGCUAUUUGUUUAUGAUCUUUUCUUGGUUUUGUUGUGAGAUGUUUCUAUUUGGAUGCUCUAUUUAAUGUAUUUUGAUGGGUUUUUGAGGAAGGCUUGUAUGUAUUGACAACAAUAAAGUGCUUUUUAUAAAUCCUAGUCCUCCAACACUAAAAGAAAUUAAUACGCUUGGUUUAUAGUUAAUAAAAAUAUAUAUAUUUUUAAAAAAAGUCUUUUUCUUUGGCAUAUAGUAUGCGUUUUGAGGGAAAAAAAAUUAUCCCACUCCUAAUUCGUCCUCUUCUGCGAUAUUAAUGUGUUAACACGAAGAUUCAUUGUAAUUGCAACAAUUUUGACGAAUCCAAACGUUCAAUAACUGUUAAAUUGUAUUUAUAAAUACUAAUAGCGAAGGUACAGAAACGAUUAAUUCACGAAGUUGCUUAAAGUGCAUUAAAUUAGAGAGUAUAAAUAAUUGUGUGAUACAGUCCAGCCUUCAUCUGCUUAUAAUUAGCAACCAAAAACCACUUUGCAACACCAUUAAAAAAACAUUUUAACAUUAUUGCUGAGGGAAGAGGCAGCUUAGGCUUAUUAACUCGUAUUAUUAAUGCUGAUGACGCAGCUGGUAAUCCUUUUGGUGAAUAUAUUAAGGCAGCUGAAGCUUAAAAUUAAUUAAGCCCACUAAAGCUUAAAACUAAUUCUUCUGGUGACGAUACUUUGCUUAGUUCGCUUUUUGUUUUUAAUUUUUUUGGGGCUAACGUUUUGCUUAUUUUGCUUUUAAAAUUCUAUUCGCGUUGCUGUGGAAUAUUGUUUCUCCUUCGAUUUUCUGUUUUUGUUGUUAUCGGAUUUGAUGAUGGUUUAUAUGUACGAAGAUUAUGUAAUAAAGUGCUUUUGUAAAAAUACUAAGGUAAUAUACAUUACACAUUUGUACUCAAUAAGAAAUCAAUUCAUUAAUAUAAGCAUUAAUACCCCUGGUUUAUUGUUAAUGAAAAUUAAAAAAGAAAAAAAAAAGUCUUUUUCUUUGGCCUUUAUUAUGGAUUUUAAGAGGAAAAAAAUUUAUCCCACUCCAAUUCAUGAAGAUAUUCUCUUUUCUGUCAUAAAGAUCCAUUGCAGUUGGUGAAUUCAAAUAUUCAGUAACUGAUGAAAUUGUAUUUAUAAAUUCAUACUAAUAGCAAUUGAAGAUUAUAAUUAAUUUUGUAAUAUGAUCUAGCCCUCGUGUGUUUAAUUAGCACUCAAAAACCACUUUACAUAAAUGAGGUUUCAACAGCUGAGAAAGAGAUAGCCAUUAUACAUUACACAUUUGCACUUAAUAAGAAAUCAAUUCAUUAAUAUAGCCAUUAAUACGCCUGGUUUAUUGUUAAUGAAAAUUAAAAGAGAAAAAAAAAGGUCUUUUUCUUUGGCCUUUAUUAUGCAUUUUAAGAGGAAAAAAAUUUAUCCCACUCCAAUUCAUGAAGAUAUUCUCGUUUCUGUCAUAUUGAUGUGUUAAUAUGAAGAUCCAUUGCAGUUGGUGAAUUCAAAUAUUCAGUAACUGAUGAAAUGGUAUUUAUUUAUAAAUUCAUACUAAUAGCGAUUGAAGAUUAUAAUUAAUUUUGUAAUAUGGUCAAGCCCUCGUGUGUUUAAUUAGCACUCAAAAACCGCAUUACAAUAGGCAUUAAAAGAACAUUAUAACGUCAUUGCUGAUGAGUUCUGGUGAAGAUAUUAAGUUAAGGCCACAAAAAUCGAAAUGUACGUAGCUUCGUUUGUUUUUUGUUUUUGAUUUUUUUUGGGGGGCAAAUGCUUGGCUUCGUUUGCUUUUUCGUUUUUGAUAUUUUAUUGGCUUUAUUGUGUGGCAUGUUCUUGUUUUCUUUUGAUUUUCUGUUUUGGUUGUUAUGGGAUUUGAUGACGAUGUACAUGUACAAAGAUUAUGUAAUAAAAUGCUUUUGAUAAAUUGUGGAACAAAAGAAGAACACUAACGAACUAAUUAAUUACUAAUAAGAACAUUAACAAUUUUUGCCGAAGUCUGAUGAAGAGAAAUAUUACACAUAAGUAACGGUACCGCGGAAGGAAAAAAUAAAAGAAACUAAAGUUUAUUUCAACAGCUAAGAAUGAAAUAGGCAUAAGAAAUUAACCCAUCAAUUAAUUAAUUAAUACAGUCCCCUGCUACUAAAUAAUGCGAGCCCCUUACUGUACUUAACAUUUUUCUUUUUAAUAAUUUAAAACAGUUUUCAACUGAGAUUUGAAUUUUAAAACUACAUACACAAAUACACCUGAUUUUAAAGAAAAAAAAUUUCUAAUAAUAAAAUAUUUUACAUAUAUAACCAUAUGGCGAAAAAAUAAAUAUAAGAAACUGAAGUUUCAACAACUGAGAAUGAGAUAGGCAUAAGAAAUUAAUUCAUUAAUUAAUUAAUAGAGUCCUCCUUUGCUAAGCUAAAUAAUGCGAGCCCAUUGUUCUUUUUAUUUCGAAAACCCAUUAAUCACCAACACAUAAUACACGCCCAACUUUUUUUUUAAAAAAAACCUAAUAAUAAAAUAUUUCAGUCGUCCUCUGUUGAGUCGUCCUCUGUUGAGUCGUCAUAAAAAACCCAUUUACCAGCUAUGACAGCAAGAGGAAUAUGGGUUAACAAGUCCCAAUAUUGUCCUCCAUCCUUUCUGCACUUCUUUUCUAUCAACGGACAAUCCACGAUUCUUAAUUGCAAAAGUGAGGAAGGCAGGCCCUUCUCCGGAAAGUAUUUGAGCUUGGGACAAUGAUAGAGACCCAAGUGAGUGAGGUUUUGAAGAUCAACAAUUGAAGAAGAUAGGCGUUCCAGAUUUGGAAAAUUGUAAAUCCACAGAGAUGUUAGAGAGGCAGGAAGAGGAAGCGCGGUCCCUAAUCUUUUGUCCUCUAGUGGAAAUGACACCAUGUCGUCAUCGCAUCCUAUGAUUUCAAGAUGUCGCAGACAGGAGAAUCUGUGAAAUCCCCGGCCCCGCUCAAUCAUUGACUUCCAAAUCUCCAUAUUACCCUCAAUCCAAAGUGAAUGAAGGUUGAUGGGAAGGCCAUCUUCUUCUUCAAGGCUUGGAAGCUCACCUCCUUUUCCUAUUGUUAAUUGUUGAAGAGAGGUCAGAUUGUGCAAUCCCUUGGGUAAGGCCUCUAGUCUCUUACAAUCAAGUAUCGUCAGCCUCGUGAGUUUCGCACAAGGGAAUGCCCCUUGGGGAAAGGACACUAGAUUUCCACAAUACGCUAUGCUAAUCUCUUGAAGCUGGCGGAGAUUAUGUAAACCACUCGGUAAAAUUUUCAGAUUUCCACAAUUAGAAAUGUCGAUUGUUUCAAGAGAUGUGUUGUUGUCCAACCUUUCUGCUAUUGACUCCAGCUUUGAACAUCCGCGAACAGAAAGGGACUUAAGAGACGGAGGUAGAUUGCCAACUUCAAGGGACUCAAGCGUGGCAGGUAACUCAUUUUUUGAAAAUAUACAUGUCAGUGAUGGACAGCUGUUAAUACGCAACUGCUCAAGAAGAGAUGAGGUGUACCUUCUAUUGCUGCUGCUGCUGCUACACUGGAUGCCCUCUUCCACUGUCAAAGUCCUUAUAUUACUGCAAUUGUUAAUCACCAACUGCUUAAGGCUCGGUGGUAGCUGGACUCCAGCAAUAUAUGUCAACGAAUGGCAAAAGCAAAUCUCCAAGAUCUCGAGAGAUGAAUUGGUGUCGCACAUCCAUGCCUCUGGUAAUGAUUUCAGUGCAUCACAUUCCCUAAUCUCAAUUGUCUUCAACUUGGAAGGCAGAGCAACCUCAGGAAAGGAAACAAGGGAACUGCACUUGUAGAUUUCUAUCUCUCUCAAGGAACUGAGACUGAGAGAUGAUUGUGGCAGCUUCACAAGGCCUUCGCAAUAUCUCAAUCUUAGAUAUUCGAGUCUGCAUGACAACUCGCAGAGCUGCUGUUGUUGGCCUUUCUCUUCCUCCGCCACCAAGGAUUGAAGUUUGGGACACCGUCUAAUCGUCAGUCUUCUGAGAGAGCAAAUGUCUUGCAGUAAUUCGUUAUGACUCUUCCAUAUAUAUGUCUGCUCUUUCAUUUCAUUUAUCUUCAAUUCUUCCAAUUUUGGUAGUCGCGGCUUUAAUGGCCCUGCGAGAAACACUUGAUUUGAUCUAUCUCUACAAACCACUGAAUUCUGUGAGCCGAGAUGAUCAGUUGCACUUCUCCACACAACCUUUUUACAUCCACCACUCUGUAAUUUGCAAAGAGCUGGAAGACUCGAAACUGAAACUGACAAUUCUUCACAUCCUUUAAUAACAAGCUUCUCCAAUGCAGGAAGGCGUUCUGGAAAUGUUCCUUGCAGCUUAGAACAUCUUAAAAUGUGAAGCUCUCUCAAUUUAGGAAACCGUUCAACUCCCUGACUGGAUCCAUGAGGAAUCCAGUCUUCCCAUCCUUGCAUGUCUUCAAAAUGAAGAGUCUCCAAGCAUGGAAAAGGAAUUGGAGUAUCAUUCCCAUAGAACUCUGAACCCAACCUCUUUACACUAGUCAUUCCACAUACUGCAAGAUGCUUUAGAGAGGGUAGUUGCCCGACUGACGGCAGGGUAGGACACAUGCCACAAUAUUCAAAUUUUAAGGUCACCAACUUUGAGAAUGAGGAAUCUCCGAACCAAGUUGGAAAUUUUGCACCUCUAUAGCCGCUGAUACAAAAUUGUUCCAAAUUUUUAUUGGGUUCUAGCAUGUCAAGCACGUCCUUUUCAAUUUCCGCCUCCCUUGAAGACGAGCCAUCGGUACUGAGUGUCCAUCGAAGCAAUAAUUCUCUAAGAUUCUUCUUUCCAUCCAAUUGAGCCUCCUUUGCAUCACCAACGUCUUUUACAUUCUCCAAUUUUGAAAUGUUAAGUGUCCCAUGAAGGUGCGUCAACAACUUUAGCUCUCGUAACCCGGAACCACUGCCUUUUCCCACAACAAAAUUACACAACGUCUGAAGACUAGUCAACCUACCAAUUCCUACUGGCAUUUCCUCCAACGACUUCGUAUUUGAAUUCUUAAGAUGAUGCAAUUUGGCGAGGUUUCCCAUGUCUGCACACAACUUCUUCAGCCGAUCACAAUCUUCCAACAAAAGACUAUGCAAAUUGUAAAGCUUGUUGACUGAUUCAGGCAGAGUUCUAAUCUCAGUUGUAGACAGGUUAAGGUACCUUAAAUACCUCAAAUCACCAAUUGAAUCCGGCAGCUCAGGGAUGCAGUAUCCACGCAAAGAGAAGACCCUCAAGCGUCGGAGUUUGAGCAACUUAGGAAGAAUGCUAGGAGCCAAGAAGCCAGGCGAACUUUUUGUCAACAUUACUGGUAAAAAAGUUCUCAAAUGCUGGAUAUCAUACAAGUCCCCAAACCUUUUACCGCCAUCAAAAUAUUCAGGAAUGUAUGAUAGAUGACGAAGAUUUUCGGAAAAACUUUGCUGCUUGUAAAUUUCUGAGGUAUACUCCAUUGUGAAGUAUAUCUCCCCCGCAGCCCAACGGGCAAGGUCAUUGAUAAGAUCGUGCAUCACAAAUCGUGAUGUAUUGUUGCUUAAUUGCUGGAAAAAAGAUCUUGAACGUAGCUCUUGAAAGAACUUUCGACCUAGAACUUCGUUAGGAUUCCCACUCUCUUUAUGAACCAAGAAACCCGAAGCACUCCAUAAUAAAAUUAUCUCCUCCUCUUCAAAUUCAUAAUCCUUCGGAAACAACGAGCAGUAUGCAAAGCAUUGUUUCAAAAUUGGAGGAAGAUAAUAAUAGCUCACUGCAAGAGCUGGUAUAAUGGGACAUCUAUCUUCUGGUAAUUCCCAUAUCUUGCUACUGAGCACAUCUUCCCACACACCUCUGUCAUGUUCUCCACAUAAAAGUCCUCCCAGUGUUUUUGCUGCCAAGGGAAAGCCAUUGCAUUUGAUCACUAUCUUCUUACCAAUGUCCUCCAAUGACUUGUGUGAACUGAAAUCUCUUGUCCCCAAAGAGUGCUGAGCAAACACAGACAGACAAUCCUCAGUUGACAAGUUUUUCAAUUCAUAAGCUUGAUCCGGCCUCAUGAUUUUUGCAACCUGUUGAUUGCGAGUAGUGACAACAAUCUUACUUCCCUGUGCGCCAGCUUCAAACGGACGGCUCAUGUCAACCCAGUCAUUGUAAUUCUCAUUCCAAACGUCGUCUAAAACGAGCAAAAAUUUCUUUUGAGAUAACUUCUUCUUCAGCUCCUCUUGAAGCAAAUUUAAAUCACUGUCAUCAAUAGUCUGCUUGGUAAUGGAUCUUAGAAUUUUUUUUGUUAGCCCCUUAACGUCGAAAUCCUCAGAGACACAAGUCCAUGCCUUGAGAUCAAAAUGAUCCUGCACUCGCUUAUCAUUGUAGACAAGCUGAGCAAGAGUGGUUUUGCCCAGGCCGCCCAUACCUAUAAUAGGAAUAACAGAGAAUCCACCAUCGUUGCUUAAAUCAUCCCUCAACAGCAGUUCAACAACAUCCUUCUUUUCUGUUUCCCUGCCAUAUACUUUGGCUUCAGUCACUAAAGAGGUUGUCUCCAGCCUUUGACUGGCUUUGUUGGACCCUCCAGCUGAACUUUCUUUCAAAUCUAGCAAGUUUUUCUGUGUCACAAUUUCUUGAAAUCUGCUGUUGAUCUCUUUGAUUUUGGACAUCAAGCCAUAAUCGAACUGAAUCGAUUGUGGAGUAAAAGUGGUGCAGCAAGCAGGAAUGAGCUUCCGAAACUUACUUGUUCUGGCACGACUGCUACUGGGUUGAUCAUGAGCAGCAGCUGGUUCUCCAUUUCCAAGCAGCAACAUCCUCCGGAAAGCCUCAGUUUGAAACUCAUCCAACAAGUCUUCAACAUCAUAAGCCAAGUUCUGAAGCUUGCCAAGCCACUUCUUCACAGACCGAUUAGUUGUCUUCUUCUCCUCAGCAUCAUCAAGCACCGCCUUGAUCAUCUCCAACAUAUUCUCCCACUUCAUUAGAUAGUCUUGGAUCUUCUCUUGGCGUGCAAAAAACAGAAUCCCCUCUGAAGCUAACUUAUUGACCAGCAAAUCAACAGAUGCCGUAAGGAUUGCCUCUCCGAUGAUCGACAUUUUUUUUCUUUUUUUUGGGCAAAGGAAGAAAGGAGCAGAAUUAUGGGUUAUGGAAAGCAGAAUGAGAAUAUUGAACGGGUGAGAAAAUGGAUAAUUAAGCGGAAUGAGUUUGUGAUUGUGAAGGGUCUGGUACAGCAAGCUUAGUAGAAAUCACGCGUUUGUACUUUAUUGACCAAUGACUAAAUAAUUUGGCAAUGCACCCACCACCACCACUUGGUGAGCAAAAUGAAAAAGUUUAAUAAGUGGAGGGGUCCAGCAAAAUACGACGUAAAAUGUGGCAAGUCUCCCCACUUGUUGUUCGUUGCAGCUAAGAAAAGAAAAAACAGAGCCCACCACCCAUUAAUAAUUUAGCAAAUCACCAAUCAUCACAAAAUUCCAUUAGAUAUUCGUCGAUCAAGUAGUUAAUCCAGUGUCUGCUACGUAGAGCCUUCACUUUACAAAUCUUCAACUCAUAAACCAAGUUAAAUCAAGACGUUUCUCUCUCUGUAUAUAUAUUUUUUAACUCCUAAAACGUUUCUUUUUAGAAAUAUUUUACUUUAUUCAUCUAAUAUGUUAUCUAACAAAUAGACACAGAUGAAAUCACUCUAAAGUGAAGAUGAAAGGGGAAAAAAAAAACAUUCAACCACCAAUAAUUUAGCAAGCUUCACUUUUAUUCCACCAAAGUGUAAAUAAAGCCAGCCCCCACCACCAUCGAUAAUUUUGCAAGCUUCACACGCUUGUUGUCUUCUCCUUGACGAACUGGACGGGGUGGACCAAGAAUCAAUGAAAGAAUUUUAAAAAUAAUAAUAAAAGAAAAACAUAAACAUUUUGGACUCAGAGUAGAACCGUAAUUAAUGCUAAAAUUUACUCCGCUAACGUUUUCAAAAUAUUGUUCUUUACAAUUGUACAGCAAAUAAGACUAAGUUUUGGACAUUUUCGUAUUCACUUACUUUCAAAAGCAGUAUUUCGAAACAUUUUACAGAAUCAAGUAACAGUUAUAUAACGAGAAAAGUGCAAAGUUGUGUAAUUCAGAUCAUUUUUUAUUUGGGUCGCCAACUCGCCAAUGAACCCAUGAUUGAAUGAGUGUUUAGAAAGAAAAUCAAUAAAAAACAGUUUUUUUUUUGUCGUUGAAAUAUAGUAAGUGAGAAAGAUUAUUCUGUUUUUUUUGUUAAUUAGGUUAGUAAUUAUGAUUGAGUGACUCAGAACUAUAUUCUAGAUUGAGAAUCAAUGGUUCUCCCACACUGAGAGGCUGUAAGUUUAAGAUUGUCGUUUGCUAUUUCAUCAACAAGAGAACACUUGAAUUUAUUAAAAAGAGAAGGCCAUAAAAGUUUUCUUUUAUGAGAAAUGUAUCUGAUCAUUCCUUUUUACUUGAAAAUUUCAUAUAUAAAAACUCAUUAAUAAAUGACAGAAUAUACAUAAAUUAUUAAUUCAUUUGAUAGUUGAUUAUCGAAGGACAUGUGACCCAUGGGAGCAUGCAGACUAUAAAAUAAUUCUUUUUUUUAUUAAACAAAAAAUCGGUGAUGUUGAAAAGCAAUAUUAAUUCGACUGAUAAUUGGGGUGAACAUUCAUAAAAAGAAUGCCGUAUGAAACUAAAUUAUUAAUUCGUUUGACAUGUGACCCACAAUAAAUAGUUAAAUUUGGCGGCAACAAUAAUUACAAGACGAACUUAAAGCAGCGCAUAGGUUUUUCUUAAAAAUACAUAAACAAUUCGAUAUUUGAAAUUCUAAUAUCUCAAUAAUAUUGAUCAUGAUUCAGUUACCAAUUAGAUCCACUUACAAUUUCUUUUUUUCUUUUUUCUGGUUUCCAAUCUUUACCUAAAGAAAAUAUUUAGUGAUCCCUUUUAUCAACUUGGUUUUAUUGACUUUCUUCCAAUCAUAGAAGUGAAAAGAGAAACAGAGGCCAGCACCAAUCAGUGUUACCAGAUUCUGUAAAGGCAAAAUCAGUGCCCAGCAAAAAGAAGCUAUGUUUUCGUUAUAUGCUGCUUCCUAUUUAGUACAUGCAUAUAAAGAUAUACACGUGCACAUGCAGUACAUCUAUCUAAAAUUUAAAAAACGGAAUUAGAAAUACAGGAUUAAUGGUAGAAAUACAACAGGAAUAAAAGUGAAAUAAGCAGAAUGAGUUUGUGAUUCUGUCUAGCAAGCCUAGAAAUCAAGCAAAACCCACCAUAAAAGCGAAAAGCAAAACGGAGCCCACCACAAAUAUAAAAUCAGAGGAGCACAGAAUUUAAAAAAAAAACAAAAGAAAAGAAAAAGCCAAGCCAAGAAUCAUAUGCCUUUGCUUUACAUAUUAAAUUAACAUAAAAGCCAAGCGAGGAAUCCUGCCUUUGCUUGAUAUUUGACAAGAUUAAUUGGACAUUACACAUUAUUUCACAGAGAAUAAAACUUGUAUAGAACCAAACCCAUCAAACCCUUUCUUUAUCUUAAAUGUCAGAAAUAUAAUUAGCUUGGAAUAAAGCUAUACUCUUCUCCCUUUUCCAUUGCUACAGGUUCAUAUAGGCAUAUCAUAUGGAUUUUGUUUUAUGCUAGGUAAUUAUUAAUUUAUAUAAUAAUAUAUUUCCCUCAAAAUAUACUACUUGAAUUUGAAAUAAUUUUUUAAAAUAAUUUAAUAUCACAAUAAUAGUCAUGAUUCAAUUCGGUUUAGUUUAAUUUUUUUAGAGAAAAAAUUUGAGAAAAUAGACAAAUAAUGAAGACGCAAUUGAAGCACAACCAAUAAACAGGGUAAAGUGAAUUGCGUCCUGUCCUUGAGCACUCAAUUCUCUUCAAUCUCAAAUUUAUACGUACAUUUUUGUAAAUUCAUGUCAUAUACUAGAGUCUUUUGGGUUCUGUUAUAUCAAUUGUUUCGUGUUUAUCUUGUUUUAUUAAUUUAUGGAGCAAGAUUGCUAGUAGCGAUAAACCUGGAAUAAAACGAUUUAUUUAUUUUAUAUAUAUUUUGCGUUGUUAUCAGCAAAAAAUAUGAUGGGUUUCGUUUGUAACAACUAGCUAAUUGCUUAAUACAUUUUUGUACUUCUCGUCGUGAAGUCACGAGGAACUUGUAAAUAAGAUCAUAGACGUGGUACGAUGUGACGUGAUAAAUUUAAAUCAAAUCUAAACUAAGAUGGUUCAUAUAUAGUUAAAUCAAAUCUAAACUAAGAUGGUUCAUAUAUAGUUACAUACUGAAUAAAGAUAUUUAAACAUAAGCAUUCAAUUUUAUGAUAUACCUAAUAGUCAUUGGCUUAUAGUUAUUAAAGGAACUGAAUAGAAAUAGACGAAGAAAGUGAAAAAGAUGAAUUAGCGCACAUGAUGAUUUCUCAGAUAAAAAGUUAAAUUUAUAUUCUUUUUUUUAAUAAGUGUGAGAUGAUUUACACCCUAAAAUUUAUUUUGAGCACUCAUAUUUUUAUUACAAAAAACCCUAUAAUUCAAUUUACUGGUAUGGACAAUUCAAUAAAAGUAAAUAGAACAAUAAUACUUUCGACACCAUCAGGCUAUAGCGCGCACGCACGCACCCACAUAAAAAUGAUACAAAUUUAAAAGCAUAUUUAACAAGUUGGCUAUAGGCAACAAUAAUACUUUCGACACCAUCAGGCUAUAGCGCGCGCGCACCCACAUAAAAGUGCUUAAUACAGUGAAAUUAACGUUCAGCUCACGAAGUCGCCAUUAUAUUUAUUGAAAAAGAGAUUAGUACAAGACAUUGAAAAUUAAUUGACAUUGGAUUAGUUGUUAAUUAUGAUCUUGGUCUUUUAAUUAUCAUCUAGCCAACACAGGUCCACUAGUUUCAUUUGUGUCAAUCACUGAAAAGUAGAGCUUGAUUGAACAGCGCAUAUUACAUCACAUAAACUCACUCAAUUUUCAUUGCCAUACGUGUAGCUCAAAAGUACAUAUUAUAUCAGUGAACAUGGAACAUUCAGCUAACCUACACUAAUUAAUACAUACGACCAUCAGUUAAUAGUACCCAGCAACAUCCAUCCAUUAGAGUGGAACUCCCAGUGAUUUCGUACGUACAAAAGACAAUAUUUGACAAUCACAAAAACAAAAACAAUUUACUCCAAUAAACAACAUAACAAAUACAUGGUUGAUAUUGCAAGUUUUUUUUUUAUGAUUUUAGUUAAAACAGAAAGUAUGAAGGACAUAUUUAUAUAUAAUAGAAUGUUAUAUAUAAUGUUAUCCUUGAUAAUUAGAUAAAAUAAGACUAAUCUACCUAACUAAUCCAAUCAUCAUACUAAUCCAAUUUUCAAUAUUUAAUUAUGUCCAGUCACGCUAAUUUAAUAAAGAACACUGAACACUUGAAUAUUUAUAUAUUCAACAACAUUGGCCAUGGUUGAAAAAGACCAUAGCUGCAUCUAUGCUUUGUGUUGUAAAUUAGGACAUGAUCAUAUAAAUAUUGAUUGUUUCAAAUUAGAUUAUACAAAGAUGAAAAAAUGCUAAUCUAGAAAAUUCAAUCAUAAUAAUUUGAUUUCCAUUAUAUUAAUUAUGUUCAAUCAAGCUAGUUUAAUAAAGAACACUCGAGCAUUUAUAUAUACUCAACUUAUGAAAUUUAAUUACAAAACAAUCUUUAACAAAGUCUGAUGAAAAGAUCAUAUUAUAGGUACAAAGUUAGACUUCCCAAUCAAGCAACUAUCCAUCAAAUUGUGUGUUGUGUUACCGUUGAGCUCUUAUGUUAAUUACGGCCAGACCGCGCUUUGGCUAACAGUGAGACAUAUGCGGACAUAAGAUCUGCAAAUGAGGUGCUGCGAACGAGCGAUGUACUGUUUUUAUGCGACAUGCUAUGUACUCUGUUUUUAUGGUCUUUCUUUUUGUGGUUGUUGGACUAACUGUAAUGUGAAUUUCUAUCUAAUGAACAUCCUAAUCCUUUGAGUUAUUUUGGGAUUGUUGAUUUAUAUAUAAUGUUUAGUAUCCAAAAUUCAGAUGAUGAUAAUCUUCGCAGUAGUUUUGUCAAGUUUUCUUUUGUGUUGGUUUUGGUAUUUUAAUUUUGUACGUACCUAAUGUUAAGGUCAAUAGGGACCUAAUUUAAAAACUAUUAUAAUUUUACAUAUAUAGAUACAAAUUCAUGUUUAAGAAUCCUUUUAAUCAACCAUUCCAGUGUUUUAUAUUGAGUAAUUGGUUCAAUAUUAAUACAAACUAUUUUAAGUAACAUGUGGCAAAUUCUAGUGAGCUCCAACUCCGACGAUCGAUUUAUUUUUUUCUUUUUUUUAGGACAAAGAAAGAAACCAAAUUACGAGCUUGUGAAAAGCAGAAUGAGAAAAGUGAGUAAGCAGAGUUUGUGAUUGUGUCUAGUAAGCCUAGAAAUCAAGCAAAACCCACUAUAAAUAUAAAAUCAGAGGAGCACAGAAAUUCUAAGGAAAAAAAAAAGGAAAAAGCCAAGCCAAGAAUCAUAUGCCUUUGCUUUACAUAUUAAAUUAAAAUAAAAGCCAAGCCUGGAAUCCUGCCUUUGCUUGAUAUUUGACAAGAUUAAUUGGACAUUACACAGAGAAUAAAACUUGUAAAGAACCAAACCCAUCAAACCCUUUCUUUAUCUUAAAUGUCAGGAAUAUAAUUAGCUUGGAAUACAGUUAUACUCUUCUCCUUUCUCCAUUGGUACAGGUUAAUCUCAACUGUUUGAAGAGAGUCUAUCAAUUCUUCUUAGCUAAGAAUAUAAAAAAUGUAUAAACUUAACAGCUAAUGACAUAAUUAACAUAACACAAUUAUUACACUAAAUGAAAGAAAAGAAUUUAACAAGCUUCCGCACAGUCUUGUUUCAGGCUGGACAUUGGUGAAUUGACCAAAAGAUCAAUAAAAGAAUCUCAAAAAACCAAAUGGAAAUGGGACUAAUUUUCAGAUUUUUUCAAAUUACACUUAUUUACAAAAGCAAUACAAAAUGAUUUCCUUUUCAAAUUACACAUAUUUACUAAUAGUGGUGAUUAAUUUAUUUAGCUUGUCAUAGUUUUCAAUUAAGAAUGAAGUUCAAUCAAUUUAUUUGGGGGGGGCGGGGGGGGGCAAAGAUAUUUUUUAUUUUUUUGGGGCAAAAAAAAACAUAAUUUUAUUUUUUUUUCUUUUAGAUUUUAAUUCCUAGGAUCUAAUUUCACUAUGUUUCGAUUAUUGAUGUUGCUGAAGAGGGCAGUACAAGCUUGCUGAAAGUCAUCAAAUGCUUGCAUCUCAUCUCACAAAUUGGGCAAAUAUCGGUUGGUUUCUCUACGGUUUGCCAUCAUGAAUUGAAAGUGACAACAACCACCAACUUAAAAAUAAUUUCAAGUAUCUUUUUUACUUGAAAUCCUUGAAAAGAAAAAUUAAUCAGAUUGAAUUAUACAUAUAUGUUUGAGGGAAAGAUAGGAAAGGUAAUAGAGCGCCACGUGUCUGCCAAUGGAAUGAUAUCAGCACAAUCGGAGGUACCCUGCAUAAUCCGAGGUGCCCGACAUGACUUGAGGUACCCCGUAUAAAUAGAGGUACCCUGCACAAUUAGAGGUAUCCCACACAAAUAGAGGUACCCCAUACAAAUAGAGGUACCCCAUACAGAUAGGGGUACCCUGUGUAAUAGGGGUACCCUGCGUAAUAGGGGGUACCCCAUGUAAUUCGAGGUACCAGGCAAAGCGGAUGCAAGAGAAUCCACCGAAAAUACCCGCCAUGAGAAACGUCUCCGCCUCCUAAAAGAUAUCAUUUGAUUUUUUCAGAAUUAGGAAUCAAAAGCGACGUGCUAAAAGGAGGGACAGCCGCCUGCUACCUCUGCCAAAAGUGAAGGACACUGUCCCAAGGACAGUGGUCCCUAGCCGCCUACCUGACAGCUACUGCAGAGGUACCCUGGACCACUCUCCAGCGCGCGCCACGUUUCCAAAAGAUGAGAUACGCCGCGAAUAUGCAAAUAACGGCCCAAAAAUAAUUAUAAAGAGGUAAAAGGACGUUAGCCAAAAAGGGUACGCCACGUGGCAGCUGAGGUACUCCAUAUAUAAAGGUGCCUAGAUUUCAUUCUCCAGGAUGCUCUCAUUCGCCCAAAAAUACUCACACUCCAAAAAAGAGGUUUUCUUCAACCUUAAACCCUAAUUUACAGAGGGCUAGCUAGCUCUCUUUGCCAUAAAAGCUUGAGUUUGCUAACUUGAGCGUCGGAGUGUGAACGCCGAGGUACCCCGGCUUCACCUCUAACCUCCAUUUCACUGUUUUGCAGGCGUGAAGCUCAUUUUGAAGGACACCUCUCUUGUUUCUGACCUUCCACCAUUGUUACCACUCUCUCUCCCCUUCUCACCUCCCACGAAUUUCAGAUACACCGCACCGCGCACAACAAACCAGUGAGGUACCCCAUCUCCCCUCAAAAUAACAAAUUUAUUGUUCUAGAUUGGUUUGGUUUUUCUUACCCCAAAAUCAGUUGAAAACAAUAUACAUAAAUUCGAUACCAGUUGAAAAUGUGAGUAUGAUUAAUUAAUAAGAGAGAACAAGAAUUGAUCAUGUCCCAAAACAGAGAAAACUAGAUUGUGCAAACUUGCGUGCGCAUAUCAUAUGUUAAUCUUAAUAUUUUGUUGCUGAAAAUUAAUUAAUUAGUUCCACUACUCCCUUUCUUAAUUUUGUGUUAUGUACCCCAUUGGCAACUUCUGAAAUAUGUUGCAUAUUUGUUAAUUCAAAGAAAUAGAACUUUUGUAUCAAUCAGACUUUACUUUAUUAACAUUCUUCAUCAUUAUGAUUAAUGGCUUAGCAAAUGUAGGAGGAGGGUCAGCCAAAAUAAAUAAAGUACUUUCUCAUGCAUUAACCUUUAUUAAAAGGCCUUAUUAAUUGUUGCAGUUAAAAAAAAAANNNNNNNNNNNNNNNNNNNNNNNNNNNNNNNNNNNNNNNNNNNNNNNNNNNNNNNNNNNNNNNNNNNNNNNNNNNNNNNNNNNNNNNNNNNNNNNNNNNNUACUCUAUUUUUUUGUCGUUAUUCAGCCGAGCCGUUAGAUUUUACUUACGUUGAUCUAACAGUUGGGAUUUGUAAAUGAAUAACGAAGUGGCGUUUGGCUACCGUCUGAACCCACAACGUCUAGUUGGUUUUGUGAUUUUUUACUAUCUUCUCUGUAACGCUUGACUAGUUCUGGAAUUGUCGACCGCUAUCGACAGCAAAUCUGAAGCAUGCAUUAUUUUUGGGCAUCGAUUUUUCUUCUUUGAAUCUGAUAUUCAUUUCUUUUCUGUGGCAAUAAUAUCAUAAACUAAUAUUUCCUAUUUUAUUACGAAGGUUUAAAGUUCACCUUUCACACUAAUGUCAUUCAGUUCUUGAAUUCUUGAUAGGUUAAAGUUUUUGUGAAGCGCUAAUCAAAUAUGUCAUACAUCAAAAUGCAGGUCUUGCAUUUCAAUCGUUGAAUACUGCCCCUUCUCUUACUAAUUUUCAAAUUCGUACUAUCUUAUAAUUGGAUCAUCGAUAUUUUAAGCGCCAGACCUUAAUAAAACUAAAAUUGUCCUUAAUAUUAAUAAUAUUAAUCACUUAUAUAAUAUUGGCUUAAAUUUUUUAGUAGAUAAUUAAAUUAACUUUUACUAAUUUACUAACAACCCCUUAAAUUAAUUAUGUAGUUCGCGACCUAUUUUCCUCAUAAAUAAGAGUAGAUGAUUAAAGCCUCCUUUAGUCGAUGGGCCAUAAUCAUUUGAAAUUUGCGUUGCUUUUUCUAUGUAGGACUAAGAGAUGUACCUCAAUUCUUUUGAACGCAUGUAAAGUAAAUUCAUAAGCUUCGAAGAAGUAAAUUAGUCAAACUAAUCAAAACAUCCAUUAAGCUGGUCAGAGGAUCAGACCGCUCUCUAUCCACCCUUAUCACCGCCUGGUCCAAACUCAUUUUUCUUUGAAAAUAGACAAAUAAUAAAGCCACUACAAGUUAAGCAGAUCAAAUAAACAGAGGAAAUAGCUGAUCAAUUCUUUGUGCAAUGGCCACAGCAACAACAAAAAUAUGUCUACAUGACUACAUUAAUCCGACUGGCGUGGUACCAUCGCCAUGCAGCAUUACAGCAACAUUUGAUCAUCUAUCAAUUUUCAUGAUAUGAGAUUAGAAACAUUGAGUUUAUAAUUUUAUGUAAUUUCAUAGAAAAGAUAUAAUUGAUUUGAGUUAGUUUAACAUAUAAGGAAGGAGUAAUGAGGAAUGAUAUCGCUGUGGCAUGUGCUGAGUAAAGAUAGACAACAAAUAUUGAUCAUGUAAUAGUGAAAUAUGUAUUUAUAGAAAAAUAUUUGGCAAUAAAAUGAUGCUAUAAGAAUUUAAUAUUAGUUGCAAGAAAAUAAAUUGACAAUUAAAUUAAUAGAUAUAUAUGCAAUGCUUCGAGUUUAUCUUAUCAAUUUGAUAACCAUUUUGUAACUACAUAUUAAUUAGAAGUUCAAUUAAUUUUGACCAAAGACUCCAGAGAAUGUGGAGAAGAGAUUUGAUUUUGGUAUUAAUAAAAAUAGAAAUGAAAUAAGUCAAAAACAAUUACAAGAACAACAAUAAAAGCAUAUUUUAUAAAAGCCACAAAUACAUAAUAUAAAUUUGAUUUUGAAUUACGCAAUUACUAAUUUAUAUAGUAAGAGGGUCUUAUAGAAAAAUAGGAAUUUUUUAAAAGAGAUUUGUUAAAGGAAAAAGUUUAGUUUGGUCUAGUUCGUGAAGGCUCAAGUAAUUGAAUGCAAUGCAAGUGAAAGAAACACAAACUUCUAAUUUUUACGAAGUAAUCGCUAAAAUAUUUGACAAGUUUGAGAUUUUAAAAAGGCUGGGAAAAUAGACCAAUAAUAAAGACCCUACAAGUUAGCAUAACAAAUAAACAGAUGAAAACAGGGUAGAUAUUUACCAUUAUACAUAGAUAUAUAACGAAUGUUGCGAAUUUUUUAUAAUAGAGAACAUAACUCAUGGUUUAGCAAUAAUCAUCGGCUCACUGGCCGUUAGUUCAGAACGACAAUUCUUAUUAGUCAAAGAAUCAAAAUGAUUUUUAGUUGUUUAUAAGUAGAGCACUAGAUCAACAAAUAAUUGAAGACUUGCUUUUGCUAUUGAACCAUGGGAUGGCAAUUCGAAGACUAGAGCUUAAGUCUGCCAUUCGAAGUAAGCAACUCAGCUGCCCAAAGACUGCCAAGCCACCAAGACAAUGCGAAGAUACGACAUCAAGAAUUACAUACAGGCCAUCUCAUAUUACAUCUCUCCUCUGUUUUAAGAGAGAUUUACGAACCCACGCACUAGGAGUAAUUCAUUAAUCUAUACAGUUCAGUACUCAUUCCUCCUCUAUUUCGAAUCCAAACCAUUUAUUAUGACGCAAGGUACAUGGGUUAGCAGGUGCCGAUAUUGUCCUCCAUCCUUUUGUAUACGUUUCUUCUAUCGGAACAAUUUACAAUUAAAUAAAUCAUUCAAAAUCUCCUUUAGUCGAACCCCCAUUUAUAUGGUUUAAUUAAAUAUCACAAAGUUGCCUAAUACAGAGAAAUUAACAAAUUCAGCCCAUGAGAGUGCCGUUUUAAUGCAAGAAAUUGAAAGUUAAUUAACACUGGAUUAUGUUGGAUUGUUACUUGUUAAUUACGAUGGGAAUAUAAUCUUGGUCCUUUUAUUAUCAUCUAGCCAACCCAUGCGCAAUAGCUUCAUUUGUGUUUGUCACUAAAGAGUAAAGUUGCUUGAUUGAACGGUAUCAUAUGACAGAAACUCAAAACUCUAUCAUUGUCCGAGUAUACCAUGCCACAUAUGUAGCUCAAAGGUACAAUAACAUUGAACAUUCAGCUAGCUAGCUCAUACUAAUUAAUUUAUAGGAUUGUUAGUUCUUUAUGAUUAACUAAAAGUGAAAAAAAAUUGACAAUCACGAAAACAAUAACAAUUCACUCCCAUAAAUAACAAAAUAAAUGCAUAGUCUAUAUUGCAAGUCUUUUUAUGAUUUUAAUUAAAAGAGAAACUACGAAGGACAUAUUAUAUAUAAUUGAAUGUUCUCCUUGAUAAUUAGACAAAAUAACAUCAAUCUGGCUAGCUAAUCUGAUCAUCAUAAUAAUUCGAUUUUCAAUAUUUAAUUAUGUCCAAUCAUGCUAAUUUAAUAAAGAACACUAAAAACUUGAGUAUUUAUAUUUUCAACAACUUUGGCUAAGUUAAAAAAAAAAUAUUAGAGCUGCAUUUAUGCUUUCUGUUAUUAAGUAGGCCAUGAACAUAUUAUGUUGCAUUUGUUUGAAAAUUAUUGAAAAAAAAUCUUAAAAGAGGUGUGUUGAAUUGUGAGCCGGAAACUGAGUUGUACACGUUUCUGAGAUGUCGGUUUACAGCCCUGAUUGUGCAUGCCCUGUCGGUUUCUGGAUAAAACAAAAGAAUAUUGACAUCUAUGUAUUGUCGUUUACUUCCUGUAAGUAAAUCACAUGUUCUUCACGUGAUUUCACUUACUCUAUACGGCACAUUUGGCAGUCAUUUUGGUCACUUACCGAAGCGCGAGUUAGUACUUGAUUCAAGGUUGUUAACUGACCUUUACAAGGUGGGAAAAUUCUGGGUUUGUUAAUGUAGCUGGUGAGUGCGGGACCUUUCUAUAUUCUUCAUGAUCUGUAUAUAUAGUCUUAGAGGCUAUAUUUGAGACAUAUGAAAAGCUUGUAACUUCUUGGUGAUGGAGAUAAGAUUGCUACCUUGUUCUUCAGUGGAUAAGAUCGUCCAAGCCGAACCACUUAAAUUGUGCCUCUGUUUUGCUUGUUUCUGUUCUUAUUCUUGGGAGGUGUGUGAUUUGCUAGCAAUUAGAGAGUUUAGUGAGAUCUUUCUGGUUUUAGGUUGAGUUUAAUGGAUCAAGAAUCAACAAGAUGUAAUGAAAACAAAAUGAGAGAAUAAUGCACACACAUCACAGCAAUGCUUCAUUCAUUUUGAAUCUAUAUAUACAAAAUUUGUAUCGGAUGGUUUACGUUUGUUUAAUCCAAUGGCUAUAACAUGUGUACCAUCAAAAGCUACAGUAGCCGUCUUUGUUUGUCCUCGUGGCAUCCUUGAUCUUAUAUUAUCCUGGUGGUUCUUGAAAGUUCUUCUCAUUCCCAAGUGCUGAGUUGCUUGCUGAGAUGAUGAAUACUUGAUGGUCCUUCCUUGAGACAUUUGAUGAGAAAUGAUGUAAUCAAUAUAGAUCUAUUUUGAAAAAUCAAUAUAAAUCAAUCCCCUUAGAUUCUCUUUGUCUCGUAGCACAAUGGGUGGUGAUUUGAUGAGAAAUAUUAGUAUGCAUGCAUCCCCUGCAUUCGUAAGAGCUGCUCGUCUUUUUCUUCUUUCUUUUGGGUACUUUUUUAUUUUCAUUCAGUCAAAUUCAGUUGCAAUCAGAUAUUAAGUAUAUUUGCCAGAAUGGAUGCAACAAAAAUUCUAUCUGAUCUGUAGUUCAUGAAAAGCGGCCGAAUGCUUCCGGCAAUUCAAGCAGAUAGAAGCUUGGUUGAUUGAUUGCUCUUCAUGUGAAAUUCUACCUAAUGGCUAUACUUUUAAUGGUUUAAAUUCUUCUUUUUUUCUUUUAAUUGUUGAUUUAUACUGUCUUGUUUGCAAAUUAAAUUCGAAAUUUCGGAUGAUGAUAAUCUUGAUUUAGAACAGAUUAGGUAACAUGUGGCAUUCUACAAUCUUGCAAUGCCAUUUCUUGUUAUGGCAGCAGCAUUUUUUUCUCAAUUGUUUGUGUGGACUAAUUUUCUGAAUUCAAAACUUGGCGUAUUAAAACGGCAUCGUUUUGUCUAUUAAGAUUUUUCAACUGUUCAUGAAUGUGUUUUUGCUAAGGACAGCCUAAGUUUUAAGUUCUGCACGUGACAAGCACGUGAGAGAAGAAUCAAGUUAGUUAUAAGUUGUUAUACACGUGGCUGGAUCUGGUGCAAUCUGGUGUUAUGAACAGCCGUUAUAUAAGCUGAGCUUUUCAGGCAGUUUCAGCAAGAUGUAAAGAGCUUUCUAGAGAGAAUGAAGAGAGAGAGAAACUAUCAUCUUAUUCCUUGUUAGUUUCUCCGUGUGAUCUCUGUAAAAUUACUUUGAAUCAUAAAUAAAACUCAUUUUGGUCGAUUCUCCCUUGGAUGUAAGUUGUGCCUAAUUGCACAGCUGAACCACGUAAACAGUGCUGGUUUCUGCGUGUGAUUGUUUGUUAAUCUUGCUUAUUUCUUGUUUCCUAAUGGCUGAAAUCUUGCUUUAAGUUCUCAACUCAUCUAUUGAGUUCAUCGAGGUCAUUCAAUUGUUCAUAUGUAGCUAGUUUGAUCUUGAACAAGGUCUUGGGCAGUGUUUUGAUAGCUUGAUUAGCGGCUAUCUUGACAGUACAAUUGGUAUCAGAACUAGUUCUUCAGAUCAAGAUCCAAGUAUGGCUACAUCAAAGAUUGAUCUUGAGCUUGUAGACUCAGUGAUAAGGGAAGUGGCAAAAGAAUCCACGCUUGCUGACUUAUGGGCUAAGUUGGAGAGUAUGUACAUGAGAAAAUCCCUUGCUAACAGAUUGUACAUAAAGAAGGGGAUGUUUACCUUAAAGAUGAUUGAAGGCUCAUCUCUUGAUGAUCAUAUUGAUGGGUUCAACAAAGUCUGUGACACUUUGAAAAGCAUUGAUGCAGAAUUAAAUGAUGAAGAUAAAGCCUUGCUAUUAAUGAGCUCUCUUCCCAAAGUCCUAUGAGCAUUUUGUUGAUGGCUUGAUGUGUGCAUAUAUGCAUAUCAUAAAUUUUAUUUUAUGAUCGCGGCUAAUCCGACGACUUUCGAGUACAUUCAUUCAAAUAUUAAACGUACCAAGUCUACAGAUUUACGUUUUGCCAUUUGUGGCAGGAUAGCAAAAAUUACAAAUGGUCAUUCCCAGCACGAACACCUAUGGCUCUUUUCCUUUAAUUUUCUUCUUAGAAUUUUCCUUUGAUUAAUCAUUAGAAAAACUGCUUUCUUUUUUUUUUUCUUUUUUUAAACAUGUGCCGUUAACAUUUACAUGGUUAAUCUCAUCGAAAUCAAAUGGUUGUUAUUCCCAUUGCAACCAUAUAUUGUUAUAAAUUGCAUUGUUUCCUAUAACAAAUAUAAUAAAAUCUCAAUAAAUUAAUAGUUCUGGGACCAAUGAAAAAUUAGUUAAAAUUUAACGAAUAUCAAUUAGUCGAUAAGUUAAUAAAUUAUUAAUUUAUGAAAAUAUUCAUUAUUUUGGGAAAAAAAUGAUUACGUUUAUAGUAUUGAUUUACCUUGAGUUAGAAGCUAUUACGUUUUAUUUGAAUAGUAGUUUUCUUUUAAGAAGAUUUUUUAAUUAUAAAGACUAUUGUAUGAUUUUUAUUUUUCCAUGUUAGAGAUGAUAGUUCUGCUAUACAAGCUGUUUCGAUCAAAGGAUUAGAUGAUAUUGACAUUGAAUAAUUUUUUGUUGCAAAAUGACAACACCAAUUAGAAUUUCUUUUCGCAUUACAAAAGUAAAAAAUGAAAUCCAAUUCUAAAUUAAUUUACAAAGAAAUAAACUAUGCUGAGAAUAUAUUUUACACAAGCCAUAUAGACAUAUCAUAUGGAUUUUAUUUUAUACUAGGUAAUUAUUAAUCUAUGUAGUAAUAUAUUUCCUUCAAAAUGUACUAUUUGAUUUUGAAAUUAUUUUUUAAAAAUUUAAUAUCACAAUAAUAGUCAUGAUUCCAUCGGUUUGAGGUUUUUUUCUUUUUUUUGUUUAAGAAAAAAGAUGGGAAAAUAGCCAAAUGAUGAAAACACAAGCUAAGCAGAGCCAAUAAAUAGUGGAAAGUGAAUUACUGUCCUUGAACACGUUCUCUAAUAAUCUCAAUAUUCUACAUACAUUUUUGUAAAUUCGUGUCGCAUACAAAAGUCUUAUGGGUUUUGUUGCAUCAAUUCUUUGGUGAUUUAUCUUGUUUUAUUAUUUUACGACGCAAGAGUCCUCGAAGCAAUACAUUUGGAAUAAAACGAUUUAAUUUAUUUUUUGUUGUUAUUAACAAAAACUAUAUAUUAUUAAUUAAUCAACUCAUCGAGAUAUUGGUUUCAUUUGUAACAAGUAGCUAAUUGCUUAGUACAUUGUUGUACUUACUCGUUAUCAUAUCAAGAAGAACUUGUAAAUAAGAACAUAGACGUGGUACGCUGUGAUGUGAUAAAUUUAAUUCAAAUCUAAAUUAAGAGAUGAUUCAUAUAUAUAGGUACAUACCGAACAAAGAUAUUCAAACAUAAGCACUCCAUUUUAUGAUAUACCUAAUGAUAAUCGGUUUAUUGUCCAUAGGAAAUUGAGUGAAUAGAAACAGAUGUAGAAAGUCAAAAAGACGAAAAAGCGCACAUGACGAUUUAUAAAAUAAUAAAUUAAAUUUAUAUCGUUUUUAAUAAGUGUGAGAUUAUUUGCAUUUUAAAAUUUAUUUUGAAUGCUCUUAUUUUUUAUUACAAAACCUCAUAAUUCAAUUUACUAUUAAGAACAAUUCAAUAUAAAUAAAUAGAACAAUAAUACCUUUGACACCCACCUAGAGCGCACACACCCAUGUAAAAUUAUUAAACCUUAAACCGAAGAACGUUCUUCCUCAACAUUAAAACUCGUGCAUUAUUUAAAAGUAUAUUUAACAAAUUUUCACAAAGAGACUCCAUGAUUCUAAUUUCUUUGACUUACAUUUCAAUUUUUGUGGAAUAUAUAUCUAUUCCAUAUUAAGAGAUUCUGAAUUUUUCACUCGGCUGUCAAGGAGAUUGCACUGAAUAAACAACAGCAGAAAAACAAAUAAAAAACCUGAUACACAUGUAGAAUAUACUCAUUAAAUUUUAAUUUUCGGCACAAUUAUGAGCUGCAUAUUUACACACACACACAAAUAACUGUUCUGCAAAUAUGUACAAAGCAAUUUCAGCCAUCCAACUUUUUUUGGAAUUUUAAUGAAUAUAAAUUUUAUAAGUUGGACAACUAUGAAACAUAAAAUUAGCAAAAUGAUAUUAUUAACAAAUAAGGAGAGGAAAAGGUAAUUAUAUCUUGGUGUGCUAAAUAUUUUUAUGGGUGUAGUGAAAAAACUAAAGAUAAUGGAAGAAAUGUUAUUGAGGAGUAUUUUGAUAUUUACAAAAGUGUUCAAAGUGAAAAGUGAUUUCCUAAAAUCUAUUAACUAGUGCGCAUAAUAGAAGGGCAUUUUGAGAAAAUUUUAGAUUACAAAUAGUCCCAUCCUUUUAAUAAUAUUCUUCAAUCAAUCUGUUUAUUUCAAAAUAAAAAAUCCAUCUCAUUUUUACUUUCUAAUUAGUCAUAUUAAUGUGUUAAUAAUUACGAAGAACCAGUAUUAUUUGUAUGAUGUAGGAAGCCCUUUCGACACAAUAACCCAAAUUUCUAAGAGUAGCGGCUGGACUUGAUUGGGAACAACCUCGAUUCAGUUUAAAAGGUUAAUCUCAAAAUUUCGUGAUAUUGUGCCUAAACAGCUUCCUGCAUCCGUAUAACAGUUUCCAAAACUUAAUGAGUCCAAAUAUCCAAUGGUGAUGACACAUACGCAUGGAAGUCCCCUGAUUUGAGUUUGACUAAAAUAAUCUGAAUAAUUUAAAACAACACAUCAGGCCAAAGUCCUUAAGAGAUGAACUGGAUUUCGGUGCAUCACAUUCCGAAAUUGAUACUAACCUUAAUUGGGAAGGCAGAACAGCCUCUCUUUCCUACUAUUGCACAAAAUGGCAAGUCAAGCCAAUGCAAGGAACUUCCCUGUUUUUUUACUGAAAAAUACAUAAUCUGAACAAUUUGUAAUCAAAUAAAUCAUUCAAAAUAUCCUUUAAUCGAACCCCCGUUUCUAUGGUUUAAUAAAAUAUCACAAAGGUGCCUAAUACAGUGGAAUUAACACUCAGCUCAUGGGAUUGAAAUUAUAUAUAUUGAAACAGAAAUUAAUACAAGAAAUUGAAAAUUAGUUGACACUAGAUCACGUUGGAUCGUUAGUUGUUAAUUAUGAUGGAAAUAUAAUCUUGGUCUCUUAAUUAUCAUCUAGCUAACGCAUGUGCACUAGUUUCAAUUGUGUCUAUCACUGUAAACAGUAGAGUUGCUUGGUUGAAUAGUAUCAUAUUACAUCACAGAAACUCACUCAAUUUUCAUUGCCAUAUGUAUCUCAAAAGUGCAUGAACAUUGAACAUUCAGCUAACUUAUACCCAACAACAUCCAUCAGUCAAAGUGAAAACCCAAUUGAUUUCAUAAAUACAAAAGAGCAAGUUUCACACAUGCAUGCAUGUGUCUGACCAACACAACAUGGCUUGUGGCAAGGAUCAAUCAAAGAAAUAUAAACUUACAAUUUUAUAAAUGUUAAGUAGAUAAGAGCACCAGCUCGGCCAUGUCGUCAUCCCCACGCUGAGGUGGACCACCUCAGCCGAGUGGUACGAGCCGAACACUGGUAAUGAGCCUUCUACAAAUGGGCCGACCAGAGACGAGUACCAGCCAGAAGAGUAUACCGAUCAGAGACAUAUACCGAGCCGGUGCCCAUCCCCCAAAGAGCGGGAACACGAUCUCACAGAAUCACGCCAGUUGCGCUUUUCCCAGAACCGUUGAGGGAGACGCGAGAUCCCACGUUUGCCCACAAUGUAGCAGUUAGAAUCCCAUGAGGGGCUGCCACUACCCGAAAAAAGGGGACGGAGGGUGAAUGAAAACGUGGGACAGCGGCUAUAAAAGGGGAAGAAAUCGAUGAAGAAAAGGACAGAAAAAAGGAGAGAGGGGAAAACUCUGCCAAAUUGUAUCCAGACCCUUUUUUAGUACCAAUAGUGAGUCAAUUCUAGGCAAUUAUUUGAACCUUAAUUGCACCGUUUUCCCGUAAAUACUUUGUGCUAACUUAGGCAUCGGAGGGUUUACGCCGGCAAAACCACCGGCGUCUCUGACCCAUUUUUGUGAACGCAGGCUUAGUGAGAAAAAGAAGGAGAAGUCUAACUCUAGCAACUAGAGCGAUCGUUGAAGCAAGGAGAAAUUGACAUCCUCAUUGCUGAUAUUACAAACGUUGGUGUAAAGAUCUGGUCGGGCAUAGGACGAGCAGAUUUCGGCAUCAACAAUAAAGUAAGCAUCAAAAUGUUUGAGAAGUUUUAGAUUUGUAGAAUAUUGGGAAAACAGACAAAUAAUCAAUGAAGAAACUGCAAGUUAAGCAGAUCAAUUAAACAGAGGAAAUAACUGAUCAAUUCUUUGUGCAAUGGCCACAGCAAAUGUGAGGUUAUAAGUUGCUGAUGUGUUGGGCUUAAAUCCAAGAUUCGAAGAGUUCUGUGUGAAGACUGACUUCAGUUGGAGGGGUCUUAUUGUAAAUUUUAUGCUGAUGUGGCAGAGUUCGUUGAGAAUUCGUUAUGCCUUUUCCAGAAAUAUCAGAAUAAAAGGCGCUGGUGAUUAGCCCCUGAUCUGAGAUCAAUAUCUUCUUCAUUUCUUGUUCAUUUUGUUGGAAAUUUGGUUCUCUGUGAUCCUUGUAAUUGCCUCUUCGUAAUCAACCUGUAUCUCGAUUGUUAUGAUCAACAAAAGAGCAGUUUUUUCCUUCAUUGACUUGUGUACUUGAAACAGUGCUCUGUGUUCUAUUCUUGGAAUUGCUUUCGUGUUUGGUUGAUCUGGUUUGAUUCUUUCAAGUCCGAUUCAUCAAGUUCUUCACGAACUAACUUGUGUAGCCAUUAAAGUUUCAACAGCAACAGAUUAAAUCUGUCUACAAGGCUACAUUAAUCCUAAUGGCGUGGUACUAUCUUCAUGCAACAUUACAUUAACAUUUCAUCAUCAAUCAAUUUUGAAGAUAUGAUAUUAAAAACAUUGACUUCAUAAUUUUAUGUAAUUUCAUAUAAAAGAUGUAAUUGAUUUUGAGUUAGUUUAACAUAUAAAGAAAAAGUAAUAAGGAUUGAUAUCAAUGUGGCGUGUGAUGAGUAAUAAUAGACAGUAAAUAUUAAUCAUGCAAUAAUGAAACAUGUAUUUAUAGAAAAAUAUUUGGCAAUAAAAUGAUGCUAUAAAGUUUAAUAUUAGUUGCAAGAAAAAAAAAUUGGCAAUUAAGAUUAACAGAUACAUGUGCAAUGUUUCGAAACAUGUAUUUAUAGAAAAAAAAAAUUUCUUGCCAAUUAAGAUUAACAGAUUCAUAUGCAAUUAAGAUUAACAGAUACAUAUACAUAUGCUUCGAAACAUGUAUUUAUAGAAAAACAUUUGGCAAUAAAAUGAUGCUAUAAAGUUUAAUAUUAGUUGCAAGAAAAAAAAUUGCCCAUUAAGAUUAACAGAUACAUAUGCAAUGCUUCGAGUUUAUUUUAUCACUUCGGUAACGAUUUUGUAACUACAUAUUGAUUAGAAGUUCAAUUAAUUUUGACAAAAAACUCUGGAGAAAGUCGAAAAGAGAUUUGAUUUUUGUAUACAAAAAAAAAGUAAGAAAUGAAAAAGCCAAAAUCAAUUACAAGGACAACAAUGAAAGCAUAUUUUAUAAAAGGCACAGAUACAUAAUAUAAAUUUAGUUUUGAAUUACGUAAUUAUUAAUUUAUAUGGUAAGAGAGUCUUAUAGAAAAAUAGGAAUUUUUAAAAUAGAUUUGCUAAAGGAAAAAGUUUGGUAUAUUUUGUGAAGGCUCAAGUAAUUGAAAGCAAUACAAGUGAAGGAAACAUAAACUUCUAACUUUUACAAAGUAAUCGCUAAAAUAUUUGACAAGUUUGAGAUUUUAAAAAGGCCAGAAAAAUAGACAAUAAUGAAGACCCUACAAAUUGGCAGAACAAAUAAACAGAGGAAAACGGAGCAAAUAUUUACAUAUAUAUAUAUAUAUAUUUUCCAAAACCAAUGUUGCGAUUUCUUUUUGUAGAGCAAGUGAAUCCAAACACAAGCCAGAAUAAACGACAGCGUUUAGAGCAAGGGUUAAGAUUCGUUAUGAAGCCACGUGAGUAAGCUCGUGAUCUCCAUAAGUAAAACGACGCUCAGCCUUGCGUUUUGCUCAUAACAGACUUAACAGAGUUGCUCGUGCCAGUCACGUGUUCAUUUAAACUCUUCUGAAUCGGUUUAACGGCUGGACACGUGGGAAGCAGCUUUGCGUUCUGGGUUCGAAGUUUGUUAUUCUUCUGUUAUAUAAGCUCGUUGUAGUGUGAUUUCGAGGGUAUUCUAGAGUGUUGUUCAGUUAAGAGGAAGGUGAUCCUUGUGCUCUGUAAACUCAUCUCUGGAUACUUUGUUUUUUCUUGUUCACGAAUCAAUAAAAGCAAGCUGAACCACAUUAUCUCUGUGAUUUUGUCUCUGAUUCAUCUCUUUCUUUCUUCUUGAUUCUAUUUCUUGGAAGUUUAAGUCUGGUUUGUUGAAUAUUGAGUUGAUUCAGAUUCGGUUCUGUGCUUGUGCAUCUUGUGUUGGUCUCAUUCAAGAUCUUGGGCAGAGUCUUUGGUUUGACAAGUUAAUUAGAUCGUCCAAAGCUCUACGUUUUUUUUUUUUUUAACAAAAAAGAAGCACAGUCUGCUAUUAAUACUGUAGCAUGUUAGCUACUAUGAAAGCUCGUGUCUAAUUACCAAAUAAAUUCCACUUUAACAAAGAAUAGAAGCUAAUUUUAUUUUUUUCUUUUUGUUAUUGAAGUUACCUCGCAAACUGCUCGGAAGCUUAUUACAAAAUUUCCUUUUACUCUAGGAUCUCUUGAAUGGUCCUGCAAUUUGUAUUCUUUUAUGUGGGAUUGGUUUUUUCUUUAAACAAAACUUCACGGAUCAGAAACCUUACCCAUCGAAUACCAACUUUGAAAUUUAUUAUUAUUCAAACUUAGAAAACUGCAGAAACAAAGUGCCUUUAAACAAAUUUCAAGGAUAAGACAAAAUUAAAUAAGUUAAUUUCAUUGUUACUACAGAAACAAAGUGCCCUCAUAGCACCAGUUAAGCUGUGUCUUGCUACCAUGCUGGUUCUAUUUUUAGUUUAUUAAAUAUAUACAAAAUUAAAUCACCUGAGCCUCUAGUUUCACUAGUUUCCAACUUGAAAUUAAAACGCGAAAUUAAUGGUAUUGGAGUUCGUUAUUUAAUUUUGCUUUGGUUCAUGGGGAAUCAGAUGGCCAUCCAAUUUUAUGUCUAUUUUAUGUACUAUUGGCCACUAAGUAGCUUGCUUAUAUAUGUGUAUUGGGAUGUCAUAGGCCUUAAAGCUGAAAAUCAAUCCCCAAUCUAAAGUGAAAAACAGUAGCUAGAACAGAUUCUAUGUUUUGAUGUCUUUGUUUAUAAGCUCAAACAAAUUAGUAGUGUAUAGAAAAUGCAUGAUAGAACCCAAAACUCAUAUUGAUUUUUAGUUUCGAAAUUCAUUUCAGAAAAUCUGUUCCGUUCAACAGAUUUAACUAAAUUAUCAACUAAACUCUAGCCAUGUACUUGCUUAUCUAUGGGUAGAGCACUAGGUCAACAAAGGAGUCCAUCUUUAAGGCCUUGUCUAAGACUGUGGUUGCCUUUUUCAUGAGCUUCUGGCUUUCCAGCUUGCUGAGCGACGUACACAUAAAGAGGUUAUCCUUCUCUUUUUUUCUUUGUUUUCAUAUCACAGAAUCCAUUUUUGAAUAUAUGUAUUUAGGUACACACACACAUGAAUAUAUAUGCAUGUUUUUAUGAGGAUAUUCAAGUAUAUUAUUUGACAAUCACAAAAACAACGAUCCACUCCAAUAAAUCUCAUAACAAAUACAUGCUCUAUCUUUUUAGGACUAAUUCAAAGAGAAAAUACGAAGGACACAUAAUUGAAUUUUGUCCAUGAUAAAGAACUCUAAACAAAUUCAUAAACUUAUUGCAGUACCUGUUAAAAAUUCAUUUGUUUCUUCUUUUCCUUUGAUCAACAGCUAAAUACAGCCUUGAAAUUUCAUUUAGUUUUGGUUAAUUUUCUGUGGAGUUGUGUUGUGUGUAAUAGUUUUGUUUCACGAAAUCGGUAGGGGAAGAGAAUUUUUAAAAGCAUAUCAAUGUAAUGAUCAAAGAGACGAAAUCAAUACAAAUAUUGAUUGUCUCAAGUUAGAUUAUACAAAGAAGAAAGAAGCUAAUCUAGCAAUUCAAUCAUAAUAAUUUGAUUUCCAUUAUAUUAAUUAUGUGCAAUCAUGCUAUUUUAAUAAAGAACACUCGAGCAUUUAUAAAUAGUCAACUUAUGAAAUUAAUUACAAAACAAUCUUUCGCAGAGUUUGAUGAAAAGACUGUGUAUUGUGUUAUCUUGAGGUCUUAUAUCAAUUAAAGCCAGGCUGCGCUUUGGCUGACAGCGAGAUAUAUCCAAACAUAAGUGCUGCGAAUGAACUGGGAAGACGGUAGGAAGAUUAAGCUGCUGAGGAGAAGAUAUAUGCAAAAGAAAUAAAGCUAAUCUGUUUUUAUGUAACAAGCUAUGUACUCUGCUUUUAUGGUCUUUCUCUUUGCGGUUGUUAGACAAACUUGAACGUAAGUUUCUAUCUUAUGUGUGUCCUAAUCCUUUUAGAUAGCUUGAGAUUGUUGAUUUAUAUAUGACGUUUGGUAUCCAAAAUUCAGAUGAUGAUAAUCUUGGCAGUACUUUUAUAAAAUUUUCUUUUGUGUUGGUGUUGACUUAAUAAAAUAUUACAAAGGUGCCUAAUAUAGUGAAAUUAACAUGAGCUCAUGAGAUUGCCGUUAGAUAUAUUGAAAAAGAAAUUAAUGCAAGAAACUGAAAAUUAAUUGAUACUAGAUCAGGUUGGAUAGUUAGUUGUUAAUUAUUGUUAAGUGUGAACCAGAAUUCAGUGUGCAGGGCAAACAACAAUGUCGACCAUCAGACUUGGCAGAAGACUACAUGUCCAAUAAAAGCUGAUCAGGGCUGUACGACAACCUUCCCAUGUCAAUCAGAAUUCGUAAAGUAAUGCACGUGUGUAACACGUGAUCUCCUAAUAACAUAUUAACUGAAACGGCAACUUUUUUUUUUGAAAAGGCUGAAACGGCAACUUACUACUGUCGUUUUGGGAUAUAUAUGUUACGCACACGCUCAGCACAAGGGGGAUUGGUUACCAGUUAAAAGAAGCGGGAAAAUUCUGGGGUUAACUACUUAACUGUAACAAACCCAGAAUGAUUUGCAGGCUUCUGAGAUAGGUUUCUAGGAGCUUCAAAGCUUGUAUAAAAAGGGUCCUGAUGACUGAAGUUGAGAGUGGUUUUUUCCUUGUAAUCUCUGAAAAGGCUUGAGCCUUGUUUCCUGCAUUAAUAAAUAAUCAUAGCCCUGUUUCUCAAAGAGGAUGUAGGCUGUAAUGGCUGAACCUCUAUAAAUCCUUUCUGUGUUUUUUCUUUCUCUGUUGUGUGUUUCUAUUCUUGUUUUAGAUUGUAUUGAUUCCUAAUAAAACUGUUAAUCAUUCUUCAUACUGAAUUUUAUUAAAUCUCUUCUUCUCUUUUGAAUAAAAUUUCUUUAAAAUUCAAUUCAUAAAAAAGAAAAUCUCCUUAUAAUUUAAUAUGUUUCAGUUGUCUCAGUGGAAUGAUGCUAUUUGUUUCAAUCAAAGUUUUGAAGCAUCCUAAAAUUUUGAGAUCCAAAUGAAAAUAAAUUAAUUUAAUUCGUGGUGUACUCUAAAUUUUCAGCUAUAAAAAAAUAGCGAAAUUGAAGUGCACUUGGGCAAGAAGAAACAGAGACUGCGAUUAUACAAUUUCAGUGUUUGACUCUAUCGGCAAAAAAAGAAAAUAAAAAAGAACUCCCAUUGUUCCAUUGUUUUUCCCAUAAAUAAUAAUAUACAGAGAAUUUUGUUUAACGAGAGAUAUAAUAGGUAUUUAGGUGAGUUUAUAGCGUAAAUUUUAAAAUUUUAAAAUUUAAUAAUGGAUUUAAUAAGUAAUUGGGUUCAAAUAGUAUUUUAGUGGUUUUAAAUAGCCCCACCCUUUUUAUUUUUAAAAAAGAUUUAAUUACAAAAAUAUUACUUCCAAUCGACAGCAUUUUAUAUUUUAUUUUAUUAAAUAUUAUUUUAUUUUUGAAUUACUAAUAAUGCACAAAACGGCAUCAUUUAUUGAUAUUUUUAAAUUGUUUAAGAUUUGUUUAAUUAGAAAAUUUCCAUUGUUGAUAUUUAAAUAAUUUUAAAAAAUAAAAUAAUAAAAUUGGUGUCGUUUAGUUUUGUUAAAUAUACUAAGGGCUCGUUUGGUAUGCCGGAUUGGAUUGGAUCAGAUUGGAUAAGAUAAAAUUGGAUUGGAUAAUAAUGGAUUAUAUAUAAUACUAUAUUGGGUUUGGUCCAAUUUUAGAUUGAACUAUAAAUAAUCAUCUCUUAUAUUAUAAUAUUAUAAUUUACAAGUUAUUAUUAUUAUUAUUAAUAAUAUAAACUAAAAUUUUGUAUUAUUAAUUAUACAAAUCAACCUCAAUGAUAUUAAUGAAAUAUAAAUCAUAAUUUAAAUAAUUUUUAUUUUUUUAAAUAUAUUUAUGAUAUUUUUAUUAUUUUUAUUCAAUAAUCUAUUAUUUUAUAAAAAUUUAUAUUUGUGAAUAUUAAUUUAAUAAUAAUUUAUAAUGUAAAUUUGAAAUUAUAAAAAUAUUUAAUAAAUAAAUAAAUUAAAAUAAAAUUUUCAUUCAAUGUGAAAUUAAUAAUGAUUUUUAGUAUAAUUUAUUAUUAAAAUUAUUAAAAUCAAUAUUUUUUAUUACAUUUAUCACAUAUUACUAUAAUUUUAAUAUUUAUAAAUUAUUAUGUUUAAUUGAAUUAUUAAUAUAAUCUAAUACUAACUAAUCCCAUAGUCCCCUUGAAAUAAUUUCUUUUACAAAAUUGAAAUUAGCUUUGGGGCUCACGAUAAAUAAAUUCUAAUACUUUUGACAGAACUAAAUAUAGGAAUAGGAUAAAAUUUUAACAAAGAGUUUAAUCUCCACUUUUAAUCCUCCUCCAACCAAACAUGCCCUAAGCUAACGGAUCAUGGCAAAUUUGUAGUAAGUGAUGAACGAUUUGAUAAGCUCUACUCCAUCAGUUCCUUAAUUGAGAAAAUUCCCAAGCCCGUGCAGCCUCACAAUUGAUAGAGACCCGAAGCCACCAAACUCGACAAUCAUCACUCAACGUCGUUGCAGGCUACCGGUCGCUCAACAAGCACCAGUUCCUCACUCUACAGCCAUCACUCAAGCGCUGCCAUUUCCUGUUAAUUAUUCGCUCGAAUUAGGGUUCUGAUAUUUGGGGAUUUUUUCUUAAUUGUGGAAUUAUGAAGUAAUGAUGAUGACGACGAAGAUGUGGUGGUUGACGACGGCAAAGGCAACGUUGAAUAUUGAGGCACUGGAGAAACAAGCAUUGGCUAUUAUCUUGGUCGAUUUGCCUCGAAUUGAUCACUAAAAAUGGGGAUAUCGUGGGCCGAGCUUCAACGCAGUCGCAAAUUUCAUUUGGAUAACUGAAUUUUAUUUUAUUUUUGUGUUUAAUUUGUUUAAAGUUUAAUUGUUUAGAUCUAGGCUAAAUUUUAAUGAUCAUUUUUAUGAUUAAAUGACAUGAGUAUGCUUAAGUUUUUUUCCUUCAAAUUGAUUUUCUGAUGUUACAUUUUGUUAGCAAAAAGUUAAAAAAUAGUAGAAACUGUCUGAAUUUUUGUUAUGAAGAUGUUGUUUUAGUUUGAUAUUGGGAAAAUAUCAUUAUACAUAUUGCCAUCAUAUUCAUGGGAGACCAAAAUGGGAAUGAUGGCAGGCUAUGCAUUGCUCACAACUAAUUUAAAACUCACUAUUUCUGUUUUUGGUGUUUUAGUAAUUCUGGGGGCAUUCCAACUAUAAUUAAUAAGCUAUAAACUUGUUUAGUAAUUACUAAUCAACUUGCUAGAAAGAGUCACAAACUAAUUAGCUUUCUCUUGUAAUUUUUACAGAUCAUCAGUGGAUAAGAACUACAAGGAGUUGAAGACUUAAAGAUAAGAACUACAAGGAGUGAAAACGNNNNNNNNNNNNNNNNNNNNNNNNNNNNNNNNNNNNNNNNNNNNNNNNNNNNNNNNNNNNNNNNNNNNNNNNNNNNNNNNNNNNNNNNNNNNNNNNNNNNNNNNNNNNNNNNNNNNNNNNNNNNNNNNNNNNNNNNNNNNNNNNNNNNNNNNNNNNNNNNNNNNNNNNNNNNNNNNNNNNNNNNNNNNNNNNNNNNNNNNNNNNNNNNNNNNNNNNNNNNNNNNNNNNNNNNNNNNNNNNNNNNNNNNNNNNNNNNNNNNNNNNNNNNNNNNNNNNNNNNNNNNNNNNNNNNNNNNNNNNNNNNNNNNNNNNNNNNNNNNNNNNNNNNNNNNNNNNNNNNNNNNNNNNNNNNNNNNNNNNNNNNNNNNNNNNNNNNNNNNNNNNNNNNNNNNNNNNNNNNNNNNNNNNNNNNNNNNNNNNNNNNNNNNNNNNNNNNNNNNNNNNNNNNNNNNNNNNNNNNNNNNNNNNNNNNNNNNNNNNNNNNNNNNNNNNNNNNNNNNNNNNNNNNNNNNNNNNNNNNNNNNNNNNNNNNNNNNNNNNNNNNNNNNNNNNNNNNNNNNNNNNNNNNNNNNNNNNNNNNNNNNNNNNNNNNNNNNNNNNNNNNNNNNNNNNNNNNNNNNNNNNNNNNNNNNNNNNNNNNNNNNNNNNNNNNNNNNNNNNNNNNNNNNNNNNNNNNNNNNNNNNNNNNNNNNNNNNNNNNNNNNNNNNNNNNNNNNNNNNNNNNNNNNNNNNNNNNNNNNNNNNNNNNNNNNNNNNNNNNNNNNNNNNNNNNNNNNNNNNNNNNNNNNNNNNNNNNNNNNNNNNNNNNNNNNNNNNNNNNNNNNNNNNNNNNNNNNNNNNNNNNNNNNNNNNNNNNNNNNNNNNNNNNNNNNNNNNNNNNNNNNNNNNNNNNNNNNNNNNNNNNNNNNNNNNNNNNNNNNNNNNNNNNNNNNNNNNNNNNNNNNNNNNNNNNNNNNNNNNNNNNNNNNNNNNNNNNNNNNNNNNNNNNNNNNNNNNNNNNAAACCUUUAACCCCUAAACUUUUUUUUUUUUUUUAAAAGGCCAAGGGGGUUUCCCCCCAAUUUGGGGGAAAGAGUUUUCUUUUUUUUUUUUUGGGUUUCCCCCCCCCCCCCCCCCCCCCCCGCCCCCCCAAAGUCAUUUUUUGUUCUCUACUCCAUUGUAAAUUUGUAUUCAAAAGUCUUUUUCUUUGUCUUUAGUUUUUAAAUUUAUGGAGAUGAUCUUAUGAGGUCUUAAAUAAAUAGUUGUAGAGCUUUACUAAAACUAUGUACAAUCUUAUUGAGAUUUGGGUGUGAUUUUGUAAGAUUGCUAAAAAAUUCAUAUUUGGUAUUUGUUUUAUUUUCCUAGUCGAAUUUCUUGCUUGUAGAAGAUAAAAGAAAAGUGCAAUUUCAUGUUGCAAUAAUUUUUUUUCCUUCCCUCUUUUUCUUCCCAUAUAGUCUGGCUCUGGAUUUGGUGCAGUUGAUGGUUUUAAUACAGUGAACCAAUUUCGUCAGAAUCAUCUUAAAGGAUUAAAGUGGCUUCCUUUUGCAACUGGGUAAGUCAAUGUUACUUCCUGAAUUCAGUUUGGAGUUCUUUCGGAAUAGAUUUCCUUCCCUUACAUUACUUAGCUUCUAGUUGCAUCUUCUUGGCCUUCUCCAGCUGACUUUCCUAUUGGCAAAUUCCUUCGCUUCUAUUGUUUUCAGGUGCCAGUGCUGGAUUUGGAGGUAUGAAUCAUGCCUUCAUUUUUACUUUUUAUGAUUAUUUUUUUAAGGUGUAUGGUACUGUAAUAUAGUUCUUUGUAUAGCUAGUACAAAGUAGUUCUUUAACUUCUUACGUUCGGCUAUAAUGGUCUUGACAUAUGAUAGGGCAGCUCUAUCACCAAUUGACGUGGAAUGAGAAAUAGGAGACAAAUGGGAUUAGAAAAAUAAGAAACAUGACAAAAAUAAAAAUCUAAUCUACUCAUAUAAGCAACUCAUCAAAUAAGUGUAUCACAUACUUAAGUGAAUAACAAUCUGUAAUUUCCACGAAUCAAAGUAAAAUUAUAAUAUUCUUUAAAUAAGACUCAUAAGCUUGUUAGGUGUUAUAUUGAAUCAUCUAAGUUGAAUAAUCUUUUGGGUCGAAUAUUUAAUUUCUUAUUCCAUACGUUUCAGUCUCUCAAUAGUUGAAUUAGCAAUGAAAAUUUGAAAAUGGAAAAAUCCAAUGCAAUUAUUUUAGCUGCUUAUCAUAGAUAAGAAUUUCAAAUUUGACACUUUAUUGUCUGUUGUCAAAUUCAUAAAGUAUGAACCUGCAUUAGUUUAGUUCUCUAAUAUUUAUAAAUAAGUAAUACUUGAAUUAAGAUGAAAGAAAAUUGAAAAGUAGAGUUGCUUGAUUGAAUAGCGUCAUAUUUUACAUCACAGAAACUCAAUUUUCAUUGCCAUACGUAGCUCAAAAGUGCAUGAACAUUUAAAAUUCAGCUAACUUAUACUAAUUAAUUAAUACGAGUCUCAGUUCUUACUUCUUAGUACUUGGCAACAUCCAUCCAUAAGAGUGAAACUCCUAUUGAUUUCAUAUAUACAAAAUAAAUAACUUACAAAGGCAAUAUAUACAAUCACGACAAAAACACCAAUUCACUCCAAUAAACAACAUAGCAAAUACAUGGUCUAUAUUGCAAGUCUUUUUACUAUUUUAAUUAAAAGAGAAAAUACGAAGGACAUAUUAUAUAUAAUUGAAUAUUAUCCUUGAUAAUUAGACAAAAUAACACUAAUCUAGCUAACUAAUCCAGUCAUCAUAAUAAUCCGAUUUCCUUUAUUUAAUUAUGUCCAUUGAUGCUAUUUUAAUAAAGAAUACUGAACACUUAAGUAUUUAUAUGCUCAACAACUUCGGCCACGUUUGAAAAGAUCAUAUUAAUUAUUAAUAUAAAGAAAAUAACCCUACAAGGUACAUAUUACAUAUGCAUGUAGUUGCAAUAAAUACAUAAUAAUAAAGAUUGUAAAAGUUCAGGGCCAUUAAUUCAACAAUUACUAAACCAAUAUCCCAAUAAUUGUUUGAUUACUAAUCUUAGCAUUAAAAGAUCUGCAAAUUUUAUUCGGCCAAAACAAAUGCUUCCUUAUUGCUUCCUUGAUCUUAUCCUGCCUGGUGAUUCCUGAAUGUCCUUCCCAUUCUGAUAUGCUGAGUUGUUUGCUGAUUAUAAAUACAAAUCACCUUAAAUUUUCUUAGUCUUGUUCUUCAUGCGAAAUUCUACGUAAUGGCUUAGUUGGUUUAAAUUCUUCUUUUUUCUUUGAAUUGUUGAUUUGUAAUGUUCUUCUCGCUCUCACAUGUGGCAUUCUGCACUCUUCCAAUGCUAUUUCUUGUUAUGGCAGCAGAAUUCUAUAUUUUCUCCCAGUUUCUUUUGUAAAGACUUCUAAAGAACCAUCCAAUGGAAGUUAGAUUAUACAUGGAAGAAUAAAUAAUGCUAAUCUAGCAAGUCCAAUGGUAAAAAUUUGAUUUUCAUUAUAUUAACCGUGUCCAAUCAUGCUAUUUUAAUAAAGAACACUUGAAUAAUAUUUUCAUGUCCAGCAUGUAAAAUUUCAAAACAAUUUUUGCCAAAGUCCUCCUCGGCUAAAUUAAUUUAUGCAUUAAUAAAGUCCUCCUCUUCUAAAUAAUACAAAACCUGUUACGUUGUUCUACCAUUUUUUUUUUUAAAAGCAUUCUACUAUUUAAUAAAAGAAUUCGAAAACUCGUUCUAGACAUACACCGAACCAUAUUAAUUUAAAACAGUUUUCAACUGAGAUUUGAAAUUACACACACAAACACACCGAGUCCUUUAUAUAAAGUGCUUUUAAUAAAUUAUGGUCGGUUUACUAUUAAUUAAUCAAAUUUAAUUUACUCAAAUUACUCCUGUACACGAUCAAAAUAAUAUCAAUUCUAUGAUAUAUAUAUACGUGCACAUACAUACAAAAUGUAAAUAACUUUCAAAUAUAAAAUAUUUAAAAUAGACGAAAUAACUUUCAAAUGUUUAUUGUAUUUUGAUGGGUUUUUGAGGAUGGUUGUAUGUAUUAGCAACAACAAGGUGCUUUUUAUAAAUCCGGGUCCUAAUUUUGUAAAAGAAAUUAAUACUCUCGGUUUAUUGUUAAUAAAAAAGAAAAAAGAAAAAGCAUUUUUCUGUGGCAUAUAUUAAGCAUUUUAAGAAAAGAAAAAAUUACAUUCCAAUUCAUGAAAGACAUUCCUUCUGUCAUAUUGAUGUGUUAAUAGAAAGAUCUAUGUAAAUUAUAACAAUUUUGAUGAAUCUAAAUAUUUAAUAACCGAUAAAUUAUAUUUAUAAAUAUUAAUACCGGUGGCACAUAAGCACUUAAUUCAAGAACUCGCCUAUAGUGCAUUAAUUUAAAGAGUAGAAAUAUUUAAUAAAUCAUGCCCGCUUUACUAUUAAUUAAUAAAAUUUAAUUUACUCAAAUUACUCCUCUACAUGAUCAAAGUAAUUUCAAAUAUACAACACACAAAAUGUAAAUGAUUGAAAUAUAAAAUAUUUAAAAUAAUCACCCCACUAACAAUUCACCACAAAGAUUAUAAAUAGUCGAAAUAAUGAUAAUCUAAGGGGUCCGGUCAUAAUAAUUUAAGUUUUAUUUAUAUUAAUUAUAUAAAAAAGAGUACUCGAGAUUAUAUAUAUCCAACAGCUAAAAUUUCAAAACAAUAUUUGCCAAAGUCUGAUGAAGAGAAUACAUAUAUAUAACAUGCACUUGCACACAUUCUAUUGUUUAAUUAAAAAAUUCGAAAGCCCAUUAUAUACAUGAUAAAGACUUACCGACACCGAACCAUAUUCAUUUAAAGGAAUUGUUUUCAACUGAGAUUUGAAAUUUUUUUUUUUGAAAAGAAACUUCUAUUAAUUCUGAGAUGAUAACAGAUACAUGACUUGUAGAGGGUAUGAACCCUUCCAUACAACAGUUUCGCAUUUCUCUAAAGCUAGUUUAGCUAGAGAAUGGGCAAUGGCAUUGCAAGAUCUAUGUGUAUACACACAACUAACAUGAUCGAAGCUUUCUUUCAAUUUCUGAAUUUCCAAUACUACCCAAUAGAUCUCGGAUCUGCUGCCCUGACUGUUGUUUACUAAACAAACUACUUCUUGCGAGUCUGACUCCAAAAUUACAUCUGUCACAUGUGCAUCUUUUGCCACCUGCAAGCCCCAUUCCAUAGCUUCUGCCUCGGCAUAAGCUACACUUCCAUGGAAUUUUGAGACCUUGAUCGCAGCUGCUGUCACUUGCCCCGUUUCAUCUCUAAUCACAGCCCCCAGCCCAGCAAGAUUCUUUUCUGAGUUGGUAGCGGCAUCAGUGUUGAUCUUAACAAAACCUUCUUGAGGGGGAUUCCAUCCCAGCUGCGCCACUUUCUGCUGCUUUCCAUGGCUUACAGCAACUGAAGGCUGCACUCUCUUAUAAGCCUCCAUCACAGCUUCAGCUUUAGCCACAACAGAUUGGGGGUUCUCUCGCUUGCCUUUGAACAGCCAUUGGUUCCUUGCAUUCCACUUUGCCCAGAGAAUCGCGGCAAACAAAUCUACAUCAGCUUUGCUUCUCAAUCUUUUCACGCCAUGCAACAAGCUCAAAACAUCCUGCCCAGGGGCUGCUUGAAUAUCAUUAUCAAAAAGGGAUAGUCUCCAAACCUUCUUGGCUGCUUUACAAUCAACUAAGGCAUGAAACAAAUUCUCUAUUCCCAUUUUACAAAGCUGGCAGGUAGGCUCUUGGACAAUCUUCCUCUUCCACAAAUUCUCAGCUGAAGGAAGUAAGUUUUUGGCUGCCCUCCAAACAAAAAUUCUGAUCUUCUUCGGCAAAGCAAGAGACCCAAUUUUUUCUUUUUUAAAAAAAUUACUAAUAAUAAAAUAUUUCAGUCGUCCUCUGUUCGGCUGUCAAAAACCCAUUAAGAUCGAUUUGAACAGAAGGUAUAUGGGUUAACAAUCCUCCAUCCUUUCUGCACUUCUCUUCCAUCAACGGACAGCGAUAGAUACUUAAUUGCAAAAGUGAGGAAGGCAGGCCCUUCUCCGGAAAGUAUUUGAGCUUGGGACAAUCCACGAGAUUCAAGUGGGUGAGGUUUUGAAGAUCAACAAUUGAAGAAGAUAGGCGUUCCAGAUUUGGAAAAUCUACAAUCCUCAGAGAUGUUAGAGAGGUAGGAAGAGGAAGCGCGGUCCCUAAUCUUUUGUCCUCUAGUGGAAAUGACACCAUGUCGUCAUCACAUCCUUCGAUUGUAAGAUGUCGCAGAGAGGAGAAUCUAUGAAAUCCCCGACCCCGCUCAAUCAUUGACUUCCAAAUCUCCAUAUUACCCCAAAUAUGAAGUGAAUGAAGGUUGGUGGGAAGGCCAUCUUCUUCAAGGCUUGGAAGCUCAACUCCUCUUCCUAUUGUUAAUUCUUGAAGAGAGGUCAGAUUGUGCAAUCCCUUGGGUAAGGCCUCCAGUCUCUCACACCCAUAGAUCCUGAGCUUACUCAGUUUCGCACAAGGCAAUCCCCCUUCGGGAAAGGACACCAGAUUUUCACAUUCCCAUAUUUCGAUCUCUUGAAGCUGGCCGAGAUUAUGUAAACCACUCGGUAAAAUUUUCAGAUUUUCACACCCAGAAAUAUUGAUUGUUUCAAGAGAUGUGUUGUUGUCCAACCUUUCUGCUAUUGACUCCAGCUUUGGACAAUACCAAACAAAAAGGGACUUAAGAGACGGAGGUAGAUUGCCAACUUCAAGGGACUCAAGCGUGGCAGGUAACUCGUUUUGUGAAAAUAUACAUGUCAGUGAUGGACAAUCCCUAAUUUCUAACUUCUCAAGAAGAGAUGAGGUGUACCUUCUAUUGCUGCUGCUGCUGCUACUCUGGAUGCCCUCUUCCACUGUCAAAGUCCUUAUAUUAUCACAACUAAGGAUGUCCAACCUCUUAAGGCUCCGUGGUAGCUGGACUCCAGCAAGAUAUGUCAACGUACGACAAUGCUCAAUAUACAAGGUCUCGAGAGAUGAAUUGGUGUCGCACAUCCAUGCCUCUGGUAAUGAUUUCAGUGCGUCACAACCUUCAAUCUCAAUUAUCUUCAACUUGGAAGGCAGAGCAACCUCAGGAAAGGAAACAAGGGAACUGCACUUGUAGAUUUCUAUCUCUCUCAAGGAACUGAGGCUGAGAGAUGAUUGUGGCAGCUUCACAAGGCCUUCGCAAUAACUCAAUCUUAGAUAUUCGAGUCUGCAUGACAACUCGCAGAGCUGCUGUUGUUGGUCUUUCUCUUCCUCCGCCACCAAGGAUUGAAGUUUGGGACAGCUUGUAAUCGUCAGUCUUCUGAGAGAGCAAAUGUCUUGCAGUAAUUCGUUAUGACUCUUCCAAAUAUAUGUCUGCUCUUUCAUAUCAUUUAUCUUCAAUUCUUCCAAUUUUGGCAGUCGCGGCUUUAAUGGCCCUGCGAGAAACAGUUGAUUUGAUGUAUCUCUACAAACCACUGAAUUCUGUGAGCCGAGAUGAUCAGCUGCACUUCUCCACACAACCUUUUUACAUCCACCAAUUUCAAAUUUGCAAAGAGCUGGAAGACUUGUAACUGAAACUGACAAUUCUUCACAUCCUUUAAUAACAAGCUUCUCCAAUGCAGGAAGGUGCUCUGGAAGUGUUCCUUGCAGUUUAGAACAUCUUAAAAUGUGAAGCUCUCUCAAUUUAGGAAACCCUUCAACUCCUUGACCGGAUCCAUGAGGAAUCCAGUCUUCCCAUUCUUCCAUGUCUUCAAAACAAAGAGUCUCCAAGCAUGGAAAAGGAAUUGAAGCAACCUUCCCAUAGAACUCUGGAUCAAAUCUCCUUACGCUGCUCAUUCCACAUACUACAAGAUGCUUUAGAGAGGGUAGUUGCCCGACCAACGGCAGGGCAGUACACAUGCUACAAUAUUCAAAUUUAAGUGUUACUAAAUUUGACAAUGAGGAAUUUCCUAACCAAGUUGAAAAAUUUGUGCCUCCAUAGCCGCUGAUACAAAAUUGUUCCAGAUUUUUAUGGGGUUUUAGCAUGUCAAGCACGCCCUCUUCAGCUUCUGCCUCCCUUGAAGAUGAACCAUUAGUAUUGCGAGUCCAUCGAAGCCAUAAUUCUUUAAGAUUCUCCUUUCUAUCCAAUUGAGCGUCCUCGGCAUCAAUAAUGUGUUUUACAUUCUCCAAAUUUGAAAUGCAAAGUGUCCCCCCAAGUUGUGUCAAGGACUUUAGCUCUCGUAACCGGGAACCACUGUCUUUUCCCACAACAAAAUUACACAACGUCUGAAGACAAGUCAGCCUACCAAUUCCGACUGGCAUUUCCUCCAACGAAGAUGUAUUUGAAUUAUUGAGAUGAUGCAAUUUGAUGAGGUUUCCCAUGGCUGCACACAACUUUUUCAGUCGCCAACAGCCCUCCAACAGAAGGGUGUGCAAAUUGUAAAGCUUGUUGACUGAUUCAGGCAGAGUUCUAAUCUCAGUUCCAGAUAGGUUAAGGUACCUUAAAUACCUCAAAUCACCAACUGAAUCCGGCAGCUUGGGGAUGAAAUAUCCACACAGAGAGAAGACCCUCAAUCGUUGGAGUUUGAACAACUUAGGAAGAAUGCUAAGAGCAAAGUAUCCACGCGACCUAUUUGACCGCCUUACUGGUAGAAAAGUUCGCAAAUGCUGGAUAUUGUACAAGUCUUCAAACCUUUUACCGCCUUCAUAAUAUUCAGGAAUGUAUGACAGAUGACGAAGAUUUCUGGAAAAACUUUGUUGCUUGUUAACCUCCGAGGUAUACUCCAUUGUGAAGUAUAUCUCCCCCGCAGCCCAUUGAGCAAGGUCAUUGACGAGGUCGUGCAUCACAAAUCGUGAUAUACCGUUGCUUGAUUGCUGGAAAAAAGAUCUUGCACGUAGCUCUUGAAAGAACCUUCGACCUAGAUCUUCACUUGGAUUCCCGCUCUCUCCGUGAUCCAAGAAACCCACAGCACUCCAUAAUAAAAUUAUCUCCUCCUCUUCGAAUUCAUAAUCCUUUGGAAACAAUGAGCAGUAUGCAAAGCACUGUUUCAAAGGUGCCGAGAGAUAAUAGUAGCUCACUCUAAGCGCCGGUAUAAUGUCACAUCUCUCUUCUGGUAAAUCCCAUAUGUUGCAACUGAGCACACCUUCCCAAUCACUUCGGUCACAUUUACCACGUAAGAGUCCACCAAGUGUUUUCGCAGCUAAGGGCAAGCCGUUGCAUUUGAUCACUAUCUUCUUGCCAAUUUCCUCCAAUGACUUGUUUGAACUGAAAUCUCUUGUCCCCAAAGAGUGUUGAGCGAACACGGACAGACAAUCAUCAAAUGACAACUUUUUCAAUUCAUAAGCUGGAGCAGUUCCCAUGAUGGCUGCAACCUCUUGAUUACGAGUUGUGACAAUAAUCUUACUUCCCGGUGCGCCAGCUUCAAACGGACGGCUCAUGUCAACCCAAUCAUUGUAUUUCUCAUUCCAAACGUCGUCUAAAACAAGCAAAAAUUUCUUUUGAGAUAACUUCUUCUUCAGCUCCUCUUGAAGCAAAUUUAAAUCACUGUCAUCAAUAGUCUGCUUAGUAACGGAUCUUAGAAUUGUUUUUGUUAGCCUCUUAACGUCGAAAUCGUCAGAGACACAAGUCCAUGCCUUGAGAUCAAAAUGAUCCUGCACUCGCUUAUCAUUGUAGACAAGCUGAGCAAGAGUAGUUUUGCCCAUCCCGCCCAUACCUAUAAUAGGAAUAACAGAGAAUCCACCAUCGUUGCUUAAAUCAUCCCUCAACAGCAGUUCAACAACAUCCUUCUUUUCUGUUUCCCUGCCAUAUACUUUGGCUUCAGUCACUAAAGAGGUUGUCUCUAGCCUUUGACUGGCUUUUUUGGACCCUCCAGCUGAACUUUCUUUCAAAUCUAGCAAGUUUUUCUGUGUCACAAUUUCUUGAAAUCUGCUGUUGAUCUCUUUGAUUUUGGACAUCAAGCCAUAAUCGAACUGAAUCGAUUGUGGAGUAAAAGUGGUGCAGCAAGCAGGAAUGAGCUUCCGAAACUUACUUGUUCUUGUACGACUGCUACUGGGUUGAUCAUGAGCAGCAGCUGGUUCUCCAUUUCCAAGCAGCAAGAUCCUCCGGAGAGCCUCAGUUUGAAACUCAUCCAACAAGUCUUCAACAUCAUAAGCCAAGUUCUGAAGCUUGCCAAGCCACUUCUUCACAGACCGAUUAGUCGUCUUCUUCUCCUCAGCAUCAUCAAGCACCGCCUUGAUCAUCUCCAACAUAUUCUCCCACUUCAUUAGAUCGUCUUGGAUCUUCUCUUGGCGUGCAAAAAACAGAAUCCCCUCUGAAGCUAACUUAUUGACCACCAAAUCAACGGACGCCGUAAGGAUUGCCUCUCCGAUCAUUGACAUUUUUUUCUUUUUUUUGGGCAAAGGAAGAAAGGAGCAGAAUUAUGGGUUAUGGAAAGCAGAAUGAGAAAAUUGAACGGGUGAGAAAAUGGAUAAUUAAGCAGAAUGAGUUUGUGAUUGUGAAGGGUCUGGCCCAGCUAGAAAUCACGCGUUUAUACUUUAUUGACCAAUGACUAAUAAUUUGGCAAUUCACCCAUCACACCACCACUUGGUAAGCAAAAUGAAAAUGCUUAGUAAUUAAUAAGUGUCAAGGGUCAACCAAAAUACGACGUAAAAUGUGGCAAGUCUCCCCACUUGUUUUCCUUGCAGCUAAGAAAAGAAAAACACAGCCCACCACCCAUUAAUAAUUUAGCAAUUCACCAAUCACCACCACUUGUUACGAAAUUCCUUCCGUUAGAUAUUCGUAUAGGUCAAGCAGUUAAUCCAGUGUCAAUUACUUAGAACCUUCACUUUACAAAUCUUCAACUCAUAAACCAAGAUAAAUCAAAACGUUUCUCUCUCUCUAUUUUUUUUUUUAAACUCCUAAAACGUUUCUUUUUAGAAAUAUUUUACUUUAUUCAUCUAAUAUGUUAUCUAACAAAUAGACACAGAUGAAAUCACUCUAAAGUGAAGAUGAAAGGGGAAAAAAACAUUCCAACCACCAAUAAUUUAUUCCGCUAACGUUUUCAAAAUAUUGUUCUUUAUAAUUGAACAGGAAAUAAGACUAAGUUUUGGACAUUUUCAUAUUCACUUACUUUCAAAAGCAGUAUUUCGAAACAUUUUACAGAAUCAAGUAACAGUUAUAUAACGAGAAAAGUGCAAAGUUGUGUAAUUCUAAUGUUUAUUUUAUCACUGACACUCAGAUCAUUUUUUAUUUGGGUCGCCAACUCACCAAUGAAUCCAUGAUUGAAUGAGUGUUUAGAAAAAAAAUCAAUAAAAAACAGUUUUUCUUUUGGUCGUCGAAAUAUAGUAAGUGAGAAAGAUUAUUCUGUUUUUUUUGUUAAUUAGGUUAGUAAUUAUGAUUGAGUGACUCAGAACUAUAUUCUAGAUUGAGAAUCAAUGGUUCUCCCACACUGAGAGGCUGUAAGUUUAAGAUUGUCGUUUGCUAUUUCAUCGACAAGAGAACACUUGAAUUUAUUAAAAGGAGAAGGCCAUAAAGAUUUUCCUUUAUGAGAAAUGUAUCUGAUCAUUCCUUUUUACUUGAAAAUUUCAUAUAUAAAAACUCAUUAAUAAAUGACAGAAUAUACAUAAAUUAUUAAUUCAUUUGAUAGUUGAUUAUCGAAGGACAUGUGACCCAUGGAAGCAUGCAGUCUAUAAAAUAAUUCUUUUUUUUUAUUAAACAAAAAAUUGGUGAUGUUGAAAAGCAAUAUUAUUAUUUCUCUAAUUGGGGUGAACAUUCAUAAAAAGAAUGCCGUAUGAAACUAAAUUAUUAAUUCGUUUGAUAGUUGGUUAUCGAAUGACAUGUGACCCACAAUAAAUAGUUAAAUUUGGCGGCAACAAUAAUUACAAGACGAACUUAAAGCAGCGCAUAGGUUUUCCUUAAAAAUACAUAAACAAUUCGAUAUUUUUUAUUUGACAGUUUUUAAGAAAUGUCAAACAUAUAUGACAUUUUGUGAAAAACUGAGUAAUUGUGAAAUAUAAAUGAUAAUUUAUUUAAACGUCAAAUAAUUGUGACGUUUUAUCAAAUAAGUGAUAAAUAUCUUACAUAUUUAUUGAAUAAUUAUCAUUUACCUUUUCCUUUUAUUGACUCGAGCAAAAAAAACAAAAAAACUGACUAUACUGCUUUUAUUUUCGUUCUUAGAACAGAUUUUAGUUUCUUUUGAGAAAAUUCAAACUCAUUCCCAUUACUUUCUUUUCAAUAAUCACCUCUCAGUUUUUCAUCAAUCACUCAAUUCCGAAUUUCAUCUCCAUUCUCUUUUGAAGAAGAACGCACGAAGAAUUUUAGCUUGCUUUUGCUGCUUCUCGAAUAUUGGGUAUUGUUUCCUUUAAUUUAGAUAAUUGUUUUUUAUAUCUCUCUUUCUAGUUUGAUAAUUUAUGGUUAUACUUGAAUUAAUUGUAUUUUUAAUCAACCAAGGUUGAUUUAAUUGAUUCCAAGUCUCAAUUUCCUGUUCAACAAUUUUCAUACUCAAUUUUGAAAGAAUCAAUGUAUUUUAUCUUUGGUUAGUACACUUCUGUUCAAUUUUUGUUUAUUUAACUUAAGAUAUCUUUUUCUUUCUUUUCUUCAAGCAAAUUAUAGAUUAUAUUGAGAACAGAGUUUUCUCCUUAAUUCCGCCAAGAGCAACGUUGAUUUCAGGUGAUAAUUGAAUGUGUAAUAUUUUCAAUUGAAAUUAAUUGAGUCUCGUGAUAAUAAUAGGGAUUUGAGAUUUACAUCCUGUUGAAAUGAUUUUAGAGUGUUCUGUUAUUUGAAUGCGCAUUAAUUGUUUGAUUAAAUGUCUCUUUAAAAGAUUAUUUUUGUUUUUAGCAAACAUCUUAAUGCACUUUACAAAUUGAAUCCAACAAGGGAAAAUUAUAGAACUGCAGCAGUUUUCAAAUUGAUUGCAUAUUAGAAGUAAUGUUAAUUUAUGCUGCAACAGUUCAAUGGGCUGGGCACAAGUUUAGGACUUCAGUUGCUCAAUUAAUGAAUCCACCACUCAUCAGACUUGGAACUUAUAUCUAUUGAAUCAAUAAAAAUAGUUGAUGGAAUCAAUGCCGAAAGCUUCAUUUGAUAUUUAUUUAUAACAUCUGUUAGAUUCUGGACAAUCACAAAGAUAUAGUAGCAGAAACUAUGUUAGAGACACUAUAGUUGCUUAAUUAGUGAAAUUGUGCUCUCAUUGCCCCCUUUUUUUGGUUGAUUCUAUAAUUUUAUUAGUUGUUCUUGUGGUUGUAAACAAUAUCAAUUUCUAAUAUUAAUAAAACUGAAUGAAUAAAAUGCGAUGCAUUUGCAGGAAAGUUAAUAGUUUAAAUAUGGAUAAAUCUUGGAUGUUGAUGGAUAGAAGGUCUAUAGAAUAUGAGAACAUGGUAAAUGAGUUUCUCAAGUUUGCAGUACUUCAUGCUAGUCAUCUUGAGCUUUUGAGAUGUCCAUGCCAAGCAUGUCUUAGUUUAUAGGCUCAAACAAUUAACAGUAUAGAAAAUGCAUGAUAGAACACAGAACUCAUAUUUUAGCAACAAUCCUCAGCUCACUGGCCCUUAGUUCAGAAUGACAAUUCUUAUUAGCCAAAGGUUCAAAAUGAUUUUUAGUUGUUUAUAAGUAGAGAACUAGAUCAACAAAUAAUUGAAGACCUGCAGCUUGGCUAUUGAACUAUACGAUGAUGCCAAUUCGAAGACUACAACUUGGCUCUGCCAUUCGAAGUAAGCAACGCAGCUGCCCAAAGUCUGCCAAACCAAGAAAAAUAAAGACUUCUCCUUAGCAAUUAAGUUAAUAUAAGGAAUGUUGCAUGUCCACAAAACUAGGUAGACGCAACUGGGACUUCAAUAUAUAUAUAGAUAUAUAUAUAUAUAUAUAAGCAUUUCCUAGAUCAAUAUUAUUCUCAGUAACUGAAUAUUGAAGCUGACCAUCACAUUUAAUAAUAAAUCAAUAUCAGGAAUGUUGUUGAGGAGUAUUUUGAUAUUUACAAAAGUGUUCAAAGUAAAAAUUGAUUUCUUAAAACCCAUUAGCUAGCGCACAUAAUAAUGGGGAGAAAAUUUUAGACUACGAAUAGUCCCACCCAUUUAAUAAUAUUCUUCAAUCAAUUAUGUUUACUUCAAAAAAAAAAAACCAUCUCUUUAUUACUUUCUAACUAUUCAUAUUAAUGUGUUCAUAAUUAUGAAGAACCGGUGUAAUUUAUAUGAUGUAGGAAGCACAUUAGUCAAAAUCAUCAGAAUCUCAAAAUUUCGUGAUGUUGUGCCAAAUAUGCAAACCAAAGCUUCCUACAUUCUUUGUACGUUUGUGUUAGUUACAAGCAAUCACAGUGGUAAACGAAAAAAAACGAAUUAAAACACAUGAGGAGAUUUAAAUGAAAAUGUCUUAAUCAUAUAUCGCAUGUAAGACCUUUUGUACUCAAAACUGAUCAGCACCCAUUCUGCCCGCCGUGUGAUCACAUCUUGAAGGGAGUGUUGCUUCAGCAUUUUUAUCAUUUUUACUAUUUCUAGGAUCCAUUUUGUCACCUCCCUCCCUCCCCCCGGUUUCUAAAAUAAUUAUAUAAUAACCAUAUAAUUAUUGGUUGUUCUAGCAAAUAAAAAAAAAAAAAAUAUAUAUAUAUAUAUUAAUCUUUUAAUAACAUUAUCACUUUGUCAAAAUAAAAAAUCUCCUCAUUAAAUAAUUAUAUUAUAUAUAUUCAUUUAUUUAUCCAAAUAAAAAAGUAUGAAGUCAAAUAGUACACAAUAAUUUAACUAAUUUGAAUUGGUUUAUUUUUAAUGAAACAAAUAACAUUCCUAAAUGCUUCUCUUGAUCCUUAAUUUAUUGAUAAUUUUGUCAAUUUAAGGUCGGCUAUAUAUUGAUUAAAUUACAAGCUUAGACUAUCGAAAGCUGGUUACAGUUAUGGAGGCAGGAAAAAUUUUAUUGUACCAGAAAUUUUUUCUACAACAGUCCAUGCAAAGUAAACAUUUGUAAGGAAAUUGGAGAAUAAUUACAAAGCCAACUAAAUUUUAUGAGAAUCAAUUUGGAGUUUUUGUUAAUCGCCAUUUUGCGUUCAUACAAAGCAAGUGUAGAUACCGGCACAAUAAGCUAAAUGCAAAAUCCAAUGUAGGACAGUGGGGUUGGGACAACGAAAUGGGGAAAUGGGAAUCUAGGUAAUUGCACUGAACCUUAAACUGAGAGUACGGGCACUUAAAAUUUUUAAAGUGUCUAAUAAGUUUCAGCUAAAAAGGAAAUAGGCUGUAAAAUUGCUAAAUUCAUUUUGAUUUCUAAAUUCAUAAAUAACCUUAAAAGUUCUCUGAUACAACUUGUCAAUAAUGGUGAAAAUUCAAUUUCAGAAUGACAAUUCUUAUUAGUGAAAGAAUCAAAAUGAUUUUUAGUUGUUUAUAAAUAGAUCACUAGAUCAACAAAUAAUUGAAGACUGGCUUGGCUAUUGAACCAUACGCGGCAAUUCGAAGACUGAAACUUAACUCUGCCGUUCGAAGUAAGCAACUCAGGUGCCCAAAGGCUGUCAAGCCAUCAAGACAAUACGAAGAUACAACAUCAAUAAUAAUUACAUAUUACACCUACCCCAAUAAGAAAUUAGUUAAUACAGUCCUAGAAAGAAAUUUACAAACCCAUGCUGUAGGAAUAAUUAAUUAAUUUAUACAGUUCGGUACUCAUUCCUCUUCUGUUUCAAAUCCAUAUCCACUGCUCUGCCAUUUAUUACUACGCAAGGUAUAUGGGUUAGCAAGUGCCGACAUUGUCCUCCAUUCUUUAUGUGCCUUUCUUCUAUCAAGGGACAACCCAAGAUCUCUAAUCGCAAGAAAAAUAUUUCAAAGUAAAAAGUGAUUUCUUAAAAUCUAUUAGCUAGUGCACAUAAUAAAAGGCCAUUCAUGGUAAAUUUUAGAUUACAAGUAGUCCCAAUAAUAUUCUGCAAUCAAUUCCGUUUAUUUUAAAAUAAAAGAAAUCCAUCUCUUUAUUACUUUCUAAUUAGUCAUAUUAAUGUGUUAAUAAUUGUGAAGAACCAGCGUAAUUUAUAUGAUGUAGGAAACCCGUUAGGCAAAAUAACCUGAAUUUUUUAAAGUAGGGGCUAGACAUAUUGGGCAUAACCUCAGUUUCUGUUACUUCUUUGACCCUGCCUAAGCUCUUUUAUGGGCUAAUAUCAAAAUUUCGUGAUAUUGUGCCUAAAGAGCUUCCAAUUCAAGGAGCUCCCCUGUUUUUGACUGAAACAUAUGUAAUCCGAAAAAUUUAUAAUUAGAUAAAUCAUUCAAAAUCUCCCUGAAUCUAACCCACAUUUCUAUGGUUUAAUAACAUAUCACAAAGGUGCCUAAUAUAAUGAAAUUAGCACUAGUUCACGAGAUUGCCAUUAUAUAUUACAAGUCUUUUUAUGAUGUAGAUUAGAAGGGAAAAUACGAAGGACAUAUUAUAUAUUAUAUAUGAUUGAAUUUAAUCCAUGAUAAUUAGACAAAAUAACACUAAUCUAGCUAACUAAUCCACCCAUCAUAAUAAUUUGAUUUUCAUUAUUUUAUUGUGUCCAAUCAUGCUAAUUUAAUAAAAAAAAUACAGAACACUUGAGGAUUUAGAUAUUCAACAACUUUGGCCAAGUUUGAAAAAGAUUAGAGCUUCCUUCAUGCUUUGUGUUCUUAUGUUACACAUGAUCAUAUUAUGUUACAUUUGACAGAAAACUGAAAAUUAUUGAAAAAAAAAAAUCUUAGUUAGCACAUUAUCAAAAUGAGAGAAUAAUGCACACACAUCACAACAAUGUUUCUUUCAUUUUGAAUCUAUAUUUACAAAACUUGUAUCCGAUGGUUUACAUUUGUUUAAUCUAACGGCUAUAACAUGUGUACUGUCAAAACGCUACAGCUGCCAUCUCUGUUUGUCCUUGUUGCAUCCUUGAUCUUAUAUUAUCCUGGAGAUUAUUGAAUGUUCGUCUCAUUCUCAUGUGCUCAAGGGUCCUUUCUUGAGACAUUUCAGAAAACACCUGAUUCAUCCUAUUAAACAUCAGCAUCAUUAAUCAGUAAAUGAUGUAAGAUAUCCCUGUUUUGAGAAGUCAACAUAAAUCAGUCACCUUAGAUUUUCUGAGUCUCAGAGCACAAUGGGUGAUGAUUUUAUGAGAAAUAUUAAUGUGCAUGCAUCCCCUGAAUUAGCUAGUGCUGGUUGUCAUUUUCUUCUUUCUUUUGGUACUGUUUUAGAUUUUUAAUCAAUCAGAUUCAGCUGCAUGUUUGCUUUUAGUCCAAACCAAAAUAAGAUAUUAAGUACUUUUGUCAGAAUAGACGCAACCAAAAUUCUAUGGGAUCUGUAGUUCAUGCAGAAGCGGCCGAAUGCUUCCGGCAACUCAGGCAGAUAGAACCUUGGUUGAUUCGUUUUUCUUCAUCUGAAAUUCUACCUAAUGCCUAUCCUCUUAAUUGGUUUAAAUUCUUCUUUUUUUUUUCCUUUGAAUUGUUGAUUUAAAAUGUCUUGUAUGCAAAAUUUAUAAUUUCGGAUGAUGAUAAUCUUGUUUAAGAAGAGAUUUCUAGUUACGGCAGCAGCGUUCUUGAUCAUGGCGUCACAAGCACGUGCUCUGGUUUGCUUAGUUUCCUUUUUGUCUCUGAUAUUUUCUUGGUAUUGUGGGAUAUUGUUUCUCUUUUGAUUUUCUGUUUUUGUUUGCUUAGUUUCCUUUUUGUCUCUGAUAUUUUCUUGGCAUUCUUGUUCUCUCUUAUAAUAAAGUGCUUUUGAUAAAUUCGCCUGGUCGGUUUACUUCACUGACCAUUAAUGAGCAAAUCCUCCCAGUGACCCUCAAACUCUUCUACACAAUUAUAAUAAUUUCAGUUUUAUAUAUACAAAAAUGAACAGCUCUCAAAUAUAUUAUUUGAUAAUGACAAAAACAACAAUUCACUCCAAUAAAUCUCAUAAUAAAUACAUGAUCUACAUUGCAAGCCUUUUUAGGACGCAUUCAAAGAGAAAAAAGGGGAUGGUCGGUUGGGUUGCUUGCAAAAUUAUUGGUGCGGGAAUCUACUUGUUUUUGUUUCACUUUAUUAAUUAAUUACCAAAGCAAACACGUCAUCAUUUGAAAAAGAAUCACUAGCACCAGCUUACGAAAAAUAAAUUUGUAAGACAUAUUAAUUUCAAUGAAAAUGUAGCGUGAUUAUGUUAUGAAUUUAUUAACUUCAUUAAUAGUGAAAAUGAAGCGUGAUUUUUGUGUCUAUCACCAAAAAGUAGAGUUCUUACUUGAUUGAAUAGUAUCAUAUUACAUCACAGAAACUCUCUCAAUUAUUGAAAAAAGAAAUCUUAAAAGAUCCCUACUCUCUGCUUAAAAAAAUCUUAAAAGUUUUCAAUUAUUGAUAACUGAAAAUUAUUGAAAAAAAAUUUAAAAGAGAUGUGUUGAAUUGUGAAAUUAAAACUGAGUUUCAGACAUUUCUGACAUGUCGGUUUAUAACCUUGAUUGUGCAUGCCCUCUCGGUUGCUUGAUGAAACAGGAGAAUAUUGACAUCUGUGUAUUAUCGUUUACUUCCUGCAAUUAAAUCACAUGUUGUUCACGUGAUUCCAUUUACUCUAUACGGCACAUUUGGCAGUCGUUUUGGUCACUUACCGAAGCACGGGUUAAGUACUUGAUUCAAGGUUGUUAACUGACCUUUACAAGGCGGGAAAAACAAACCCGGAAUGCAGCUAGUGAGUGGGGGAAUUUUCUGGACUCUUCAUGAUAUGUAUAUAUAGUCUUAGAGGCUAUAGUUGAGACAUAUGAAAAGCUUGUAACUUCUUAAUGUUUGUAGUUUGAUCUCGGUGAUGGAGAUAAGAUUGCUGCCCUGUUCUCCAGGCCGAACCACUUAAAUUGUGCCUCUGUUUUGCUUGAUGACUACCAGUGGUGAGAAAACAGCUACAGAACAAAUCAAGCUUGAUGACUCAAAUAUUAGGGAAGCCAUAGUCAAGGCAUCUGGUUUAUGCAUCAACAGUGGUUCGUGGACUAGAAUUCCUAGCUAUUGCCGCUUCACAAUUGCACUGGAAGAAAGCGAAUUUGAUCGAGCUUUGGAUCGCAUAGCUAAAUUCAAAAGCAUCGUACAAAUAGUUAACUAAAAAACGGUAUUGUCACUUGUCAUGAUUUAUUUCUAUUGCCUGAUGAUGAUACCCAUCACGCCUUAGUUGUCGUGAAUAAAUCUAAAAUCAAAUUGAACUGGUUUUUACUGGUUAGCAACAUUUGUGACGUUUUGAGAUUAUAAUAUAUGACAACACUGAUUAGUGUUGUCUCCCAUGUGAAUUGAGACAAAAAUUAUUUUCCCAAUUGCUCUUUCAUUUGAACAAUUCCACUGUAGAUUUAUAAAAUAAUGAUGAAAUUGUGUUUUAUAUUAAGUUACGAGUAAUUGGUUAAAUAUUAAUACAAAACUAUUUUAAGUAACAUGUGGCAUAUUCUCAUUCUAGCCAAGCUUCAGAACAUUCUGCAAAACGUUUAGUCUCUACGCAGUGCUAGAAUUUUCCCUAAGUUUCUAUCGCAAAGACUUCUAAAGAACUAUUCAGAUAUUAAGCUAUAAUCCAGUCUAAAGUGUAUAUAUCUCUCUAAUUCACCUCCCUCCAUUUCACCAGAAAAUCAACGAACACUUAGCUUCAAACUGAAGAAAUUGUAAAACUGAAUAAAUGCUGCUGUUUGGCAGCUGAGAAAAUGCAGAGGAAAAUUCUUUAUUUCAUUAAUGAAUUGAUAUUUUGUACUUAGAAACAAACACGAAACGUGCAGCUAUUUAUACAUGCUACACUUACUAACUAAUUGCUUACUAACUGAUUAUUAAUCACAAGCUCACUCAGCUAAUCAAUAACAGAACACAGAGUAUGCAUUGUGAGGUUAGUUAGGCUGGUAAUUUCUGCUGACGUGGACCUUCUGACGUGGCACUAAUGACAGCUGAUAACUUGACACGCUGACUCUUCUUCUUCACUUCUGCACAAUGAGCUAUCUUCACAGCCCCCCUUAAACUCAAAGGACAUGAAAAGACAUUGAGUUUGUCCCUUAAAUAAUUGAAUUGAGGAGAAGAUAAAGGCUUGGUUAAGAUAUCUGCAAUCUGAUCUUCACUUGGCACAUAACAGAUUUUGAGAUCACCAGCUAACACUUUGUCUCGAUUAAAUGAACAUCAAUCUCAAUGUGUUUGGUUCUUGAAUGGAACACAGGAUUCUUUGCUAGUUCUGUUGCACUUAUAUUAUCACACCAUAUUGUUGGUCUCUCUACACAGCAUACUUCCAUUUCCAGAAACAAUGACUUCAACCAAGCUAUCUCUGAAGCAGCUGAAGCAAGUGCUCUAUAUUCACUCUCAGGCUGAAGACUUAGUGACUACUGUUUGCUUCUUUAAAGACCAUGAAAUCAGAUUGUUUCCAAGAUACACACAGUAAGCUCCAAUCGACUUCCUAUCAUCCAAGUCACUUCCCUAAUCUGCAUCAAUGAAUGCAGUAAUUUUCAAAUCACCAUCCUUUACAAACUUUAAGCCAUAAUCCUGUGUCUCCUUCAGAUAUUUAAGAACCCUUUUGCAAGCCAUGAGAUGUUGCAUAGUUGGUGCAGAAACAUAUUGGCUUAACUUAUGAACAGAAUAAGCAAUUUCUGGUCUUGUCAAGAUCAGAUACUGGAGACUACCUACAAUGCUUAUAUAAUGAGUUGCAUCUUCAACAUAGUAACCCAAUUCUCCUUUAACUAUCUUCUGCAACUUUGAGUCCUUGCCACUGCACAUUGGUGUUAUCACUCCUUUACACUCAAGCAUGUCUACUUUAGCAAGCAAAUCUCUGAUAUACUUCUUCUGAGACAAAUAAAUGCAAUCCUGACCAUACAACACUUCUAUACCAAGGAAAUAGGACAAUCUUCCUAGAUCUUUCAAUGCAAAAACAAUAUUAAACUGUUGAAUGAAUCUGUCCAAUUCUUCACUGUUAGGUCCAGUAACUAAUAUGUCAUCAACAUAUAUCAAUACCAUAAUGAAUAACACUUUAGUUUUUCUUAAGAAUAAGGAAGAAUCAGAUUUUAAAUUUCUGAAACCCCAUUGAAGAAGACAUCCCCUGAGCUUUUCAAACCAGGCUCUAGGAGCUUGCUUAAGACCAUAUAAAGCUUUGUGUAAUCUGCAAACAUAGUUAGAUUUACUCUUAUCAACAAAGCCUUCAGGUUGCUGCAUAAACACUUCCUCUGACAAUUCACCAUUCAAGAAUGCAUUGUUGACAUCCACCUGUCUAACUAUCCACUGAUUCAUCACUGCAAGACUAAGAACUACUCUCACUGUUGCUGGCUUUACCACUGGACUAAAAGUAUCAAAAUAAUUCACUCCUUCAAUCUGUUGAAACCCUUUUGCCACCAAUCGAGCUUUAUACUUAGCUACACUGCCAUCAGUGUUAUACUUUAUUCUAUACACCCACUUAUUCCCAACAACUUUCUGAUUUUCUAUUCUUGGUACUAGAGACCAAGUUCUAUUUUCAAUUAGUGCAUCAUACUCAUUUUUCAUAGCUAUAAACCAAUUUGUGUCUUGCAAAGCUUCAUCAAUUGAAUCUGGCUCUUUGUGAACUAACACUGCAGUAUACAUUUUUGGCUUAAAAAUACAUGUUUUUCCUCUUGUGGUCAUGGGGUGAUUGUUCUGAACAGGUUGAAUAUUGUUUGAGGUUAUUUGGGACUGAGAUGGUAAUGGAAUUUGAGUAGGAUCUAUUAUGUUUGGUGAGUCUAGAUCAUGAACAGGUUCAAGAGCAGGAUUGAGAUUUGGUGUUUGACAUUGUGUAACUUCAUUUGCUUGUUGAUGAUCUGCUGAUGGGAACAGUUCUGUGCUGCUGGAACAUGCUGGAGAGCAGGAUUCAAAACUGCUGUUACAAGGAUUUGACACAACAGGUAGAUUGGAUAAAUGGAAAACUUGAUGAGGGGACAAAGUAGAGCUGGAUAUUGAUUGUGUUUUGUUCUCAGAAUUGAAAACAGGAUCUGAAGAAAAAGGGAAUGCAUUUUCAUCAAAUAUGACAUGCCUUGCUAUGUAUACACGACUAGAAUGAUGAAGGCAUUUAUAUCCUUUGUGAGCAGGGCUAUAACCAAUGAAUAUGCAUUUACUUGUGUGAAAAUCAAAUUUAUGCUUAUUGUAAUCUCUCAAAUAUGGAUAGCAAACACAACCAAAACAUUUCAACAUCUUAUAAUCAGCUUUAUGUUUGAAAAGUUUUUCAUAUGGUGUCAACAUUUUAAGAGCUGAAGUUGGUAACCUAUUGAUAUGAUAAACUGAAGCAUGGAAAGAAUCCCACCAGAAAUGCAAAAGAAGUUUGGCUUGAGCUAACAAUGUAAGACCCAAUUCUACUACUUGUCUGUGUUUUCUCUCAACUAAGCCAUUUUGAUGAUGAGUAUGAGGACAAGAGUGCCUAAAUAAAAUGCCACACUGAUUUAAAAAUUCAGUGAAUGAUCUGUAUUCUCCCCCCCAGUCAGAUUGCAGUAUCUUAAUGGUUGUUUGGAAUUGGUUUUCAACUUGUAACUUGUAUAGCUUAAAAACCUCUAAAGCUUCUAAUUUCAAUUUCAAUGGGUAAAUCCAAGUAUAUCUAGUGAAAUCAUCAACAAAACUAAUAUAAUAUCUAAAACCUUCUCUUGAAAUAACUGGUGAGGGACCCCAAAGAUCAGUGUGUAUAAGCUCAAGAGCUGAUUUGGUUUUGAUUUCUGUAACUGGGAAAUGCAACUUGUGUAUCUUACCCAACUGACAUGCUUCACAGAAAUGUUGUGUUGCUUGUUUAACCAUAUUCAGAGAAAACUAAUCAGCAUGAUGGAGUUUAAGUAAAUGCAAUAAGCUUUGAGAGUUUGGGUGGCCAAAUCUUCUGUGUAGAAGAGCUAUUUUAUUAGGUUUAUCAGAACAUACAUCAAAACCAUUCUGUAAACAAUUGUUUGAAUUAUUUAUGUACUUUACAGAUGGCAUAUGAGAAGCAAGAUGACAGCAUGAUAACAUUGACAGAGGUUUAUUAGCUUGACUAUGAGACAGGGGAGAUGACUGAAAAUUCUUGGUAGAAGACAUAGGUUUGACCAGCAGUUUAUACAACCCUUUCUCAGCAAUGCCCUGCAUUAGAACUUGUCCCUUCAGCAAAUCCUUCACAACACAAAAUGAUCCAAGAAAUUCAACAGAAAUGUUAUUGUCAGUGGUAAGUUUUGAAAUACUUAUUAGGUUCUUGGUGAUAGAGGGAACAAGCAAGAUAUCUUUAAGUGCAAUAUGUGAAUAUGUAGGUUGAGAUUUUGAAUUCUUGAAUGAAAAAUAAGAGUCACCAAUAUGAGUUAUUGACAAACCUUCACCAUUGCCAAUAAUGAGCUUAUCAUUACCUCUAAACUCAUCUCUGAUGGUCAGAUUUCCCAUGUUGUUUGUCAGAUGAUGAGUGGCACCACUGUCCAGGUACCAACCUUCAUCUGCAGGUCCUUCACAAUAUGCAGCAGAAGCAGUUCCAACCCAGGGCAUACCAGAAUUGUCAGAUGCACAAGGAUAUCCAGACUAUGACAUGUGUAAUCCAUUAUUGUUGACAGGCCAUGGAUCAUCAUUUGUUGGAUAGUAAGGUAUGUAUGCAGGUUCAUAAUUUGCUAUGUAGGCAGACUUUGAACCUUUUCCUCUCUGAAAUUGCCUUGGUGGCUGAGGUAUGUAAUUCUCUUCAAAUCUAUGCCAGCAUUCAACAGCAGUAUGUCCUACUUUGAAGCAAAUCUGACAUGUAUUCAUAGAAUCAUCGCUGUUGGAUACGUGUGACUCAAAAGGGGGUAAAUUUCCAGUACCAUUGAAACCAGUACUGCCAAAAGAGCCUCUUCCAGAAGAACCAAAUCUAUUGCUUCUCAUCAUCAUUUGAUUUCUUCCUUGAUUACCAAAAUGACCAGUUCCAGCAGGAAAACCCCUUGGAUGAGAAUUCAAAAACAUUCCUCUACCAUUAAACAUACCAUUUCUACUACCUGAGUGACCAUUAUAAUUACCUUGGACACCUUCUGUAUAUCCUCCUUUCCUAGCUUGACCUCUUAUUUGAGCAUAGUAUGCAUUCAUCAUACUAUUAUUAUUCCAGUUAGACAUAUUAGCAUAGUUUACAUUAAUCAUGUGCUUUUCACUUUGAUUUUGUUCAAGUCUGGCCUCAUGAGUAAGUAAUAAGGCAUAAGCAUCAUCAUAAUCCAAUUUGCUUGCUGUGAUAAAAGUAGCUAAAUCCAAAUAGCCAGCUCCUAGACCAUUGAGAAUUUGCUGCAACAUAUCUCUAUCUGAUACAGGACUACCAGCACAUGCUAAUUUGUCUGUAACUUGUUUCAUUUUUAAGCAAUAUUCUUCAAUACUUAGUGAAUCUUUUCUUAAGACACUCAUCUCAUACUUAAGUUGAAGAACUCUAGCCUCAGAUUGUACACCAAACCUUUUCUCUAGUGUUUUCCAUAUAUCGAAUGAAGUAGUGCAUGAGUGAACUAAACUGAGAAUACCUUCAGUUAUUGAGCUAAGAAGCCAGCUGAGUAAUGUUUGAUCUUGAGAUCUCCAGAUUGUGUAUUCAGGAUUCUCGAUCUGUUGAGAAGAGCCAGUAGUUGUUUCAGUAAAGCUUGAUGAUGCUAUGAAUCGGUUUGGUGCAAUCCGUUCUCCAUUGAUGUAUCCUUCAAGUCGAUUUCCUCUAAUGGAGGCCAGGACUUGAUUUUUCCAGAGCAUGUAAUUAGAUCUAUCCAAUUUGAUUGGUGUGAUGAAAGAAAAGGUUGUCUAAUUUGUAGCUACUGUAUUUUGAUUGUUUGUAAUUGCCAUGAUUGGCUCUGAUACCAUGAAGAAAUUGUAAAACUGAAUAAAUGCUGCUGUUUGGCAGCUGAGAAAAUGCAGAGGAAAAUUCUUUAUUUCAUUAAUGAAUUGAUAUUUUGUACUUAGAAACAAACACGAAACGUGCAGCUAUUUAUACAUGCUACACUUACUAACUAAUUGCUUACUAACUGAUUAUUAAUCACAAGCUCACUCAGCUAAUCAAUAACAGAACACAGAGUAUGCAUUGUGAGGUUAGUUAGGCUGGUAACUUCUGCUGACGUGGACCUUCUGAUGUGGCACUAAUGACAGCUGAUAACUUGACACGCUGACUCUUCUUCUUCACUUCUGUACAAUGAGCUAUCUUCACACAAACAAACACUCUCAAAAAGCGAGCUAGCUACCCAGAUGGCAAAACCAAGAAUUCUUGCAAUGACAAUGUUGUUUCUUGUUACGGCGACAACAUUGAUGAACAUGGCGUCACAAGCAAACGCUCUGAUGCCGUACACACAAUCACCUUUCUUUGACAUGAUGUUCCCAAUGACGGAAGAGCCUUUCAGGGUUCUUGAACAAACCCCUUUAACAAUCGCAAAAGGAGCUGAUCAUCAUCAAACUCUAGCCCUGGCGAGAGUAGACUGGAUGGAGACACCAACAGCUCACGUGAUUAUGCUUGACAUUCCAGGGAUGAAGAAAGAUAAUGUGAAAAUUGAAGUUGAAGAGAGCAGAGUACUGAGAGUGAGUGGGGAGAGGAAGAGUAAUGAUUAUUAUAAGGAGGGAGUUGAAAGAGAGAAAUGGCACAGUGAGUGGGGAGAGGAAGAGUAAUGAUUAUUAUAAGGAGGGAGUUGAAAGAGAGAAAUGGCACAGAGCUGAGAGGACAUUUGGCAAGUUUUGGAGGCAGUUUAGGAUGCAUAUGAGUGCUGACUUGGGUCAUAUUAAAGCUCACAUGGUAAAUGGGAUUCUGAGGGUCACAGUACCAAAGCUUGCUGAGGAGAAGAAGAGGCAGCCUAAGGUUAUUAACAUUCAUGAAGAGUCUGGUAAUUCUUCCGAUGAAGAUAUUAAGGCUACCAAGGCUCAAAUGUAAUUGAUUAAAGAAAGAAGUGAUUGCUUUGCUUGAUGUGCUAUUUAUUUAUGAUCUGUUCUUGGUUUUGUUGUGAGAUGUUUCUCUUUGGAUUCUCUGUUUAAUGUAUUUUGAUGGGUUUUUGAGGAUGACUUGCAUGUAUUGACAUAAAGUGCUUUUUAUAAAUCCUAAUCCUACAGCAUAUAAGAAUUAAUACGAUUCGUUUAUUGUUAAUAAAAAUAUUUUUUAGAAAAAGUCUUUUUAUUUGGCAUUUAUUAUGCAUUUGAAGGGGAAAAAAAAGUUGUCCCACUCGUAAUUCAUCCUCUUCUGUGAUAUUAAUGUGUUAAUGCGAAGAUUCAUUAUAAUUGCAACAAUUUUGACGAAUCCAAACGUUCAAUAACUACUAAAUUGUAUUUAUAAAUACUAAUAGCGAAGGUAGAAACGACUAAUUCAAGAAGUUGCUUAAAGUGCAUUAAAUUAGAGAGUAUAAAUAAUUGUGUGAUACAGUCCAGCCUUCAUCUGCUUAUAAUUAGCAACCAAAAACCACUUUGCAACGCCAUUAAAAAAACAUUUUAACAUUAUUGCUGAGGGAAGAGGCAGCUUAAGCUUAUUAACUCGUAUUAUUAAUGCUGAUGACGCAGCUGGUAAUCCUUUUGGUGAAUAUAUUAAGGCAGCUGAAGCUUAAAAUUAAUUAAGCCCACUAAAGCUUAAAACUAAUUCUUCUAGUGACGAUGCUUUGCUCAGUUAGCUUUUUGUUUUUAAUUUUUUUGGGGCUAACGUUUUGCUUAUUUUGCUUUUAAAAUUCUAUUCGCUUUCUCCUUUGAUUUUCUGUUUUUGUUGUUAUCGGAUUUGAUGAUGGUUUAUAUGUACGAAGAUUAUGUAAUAAAGUGCUUUUGUAACUAUAUAUAUAUAUAGCCAAUAACACGCCUGGUUUAUUGUUAAUGAAAAUUAAAAAAGAAAAAAAGUCUUUUCUUUGGCCUUUAUUAUGCAUUUUAACUUUUAAGAGGAAAAAAAAUUUAUCCCACUCCAAUUCAUGAAGAUAUUCUCUUUUCUGUCAUAUUGAUGUGUUAAUAUGAAGAUCCAUUGCAGUUGGUGAAUUCAAAUAUUCAGUAACUGAUGAAAUUGUAUUUAUAAAUUCAUACUAAUAGCAAUUGAAGAUUAUAAUUAAUUUUGUAAUAUGGUCAAGCCCUCGUGUGUUUAAUUAGCACUCAAAAACCACUUUACAAUAGGCAUUAAAAGAACAUUAUAACGUCAUUGCUGAUGAGUUCUGGUGAAGAUAUUAAGUUAAGGCCACAAAAAUCGAAAUGUACGUAGCUUCGUUUGUUUUUUGUUUUUUAUUUUUUUUGGGGCAAAUGCUUGGCUUCGUUUGCUUUUUCAUUUUUGAUAUUUUAUUGGCUUUAUUGUGUGGCAUGUUCUUGUUUUCUUUUGAUUUUCUGUUUUUUGUUGUUAUAGGAUCUGAUGACGAUGUACAUGUACGAAGAUUAUGUAAUAAAAUGCUUUUGAGUUUUGAUAAAUUGUGGUGGGUUUAAUUUACUUGGUCAAUUGAUAUUUGUUAUCAUUGUUGUUAACAAUUUACUUGGUCAAUUAACAAUUUUUGCCGAAGUCUGAUGAAGAGAAAUAUUACACAUAUGUAACCGUACAGCUAAAUAAAAGAAACUAAAAUUUAUUUCGACAGCUAAGAAUGAGAUACGCAUAAGAAAUUAAUCGAUUAAUUAAUUAAUUAAUACAUAUAUGUCCCCCACUGCUAAAAUAAUGCGAGCCCCUUACUCUACUUAACAUUUUUCAUAAUGCUAAGUACGUUCGCAAAGGGAAAUUUUCAAUAAUAACCAUUAAAAUUUUCAUUUUUUUCAUCUUAACCCCCCAAAAAUAUUUCUAUCAACAUUAGCCAUUAAACAACUUUUGAGACCAAAACACCCCUCCCUCAUCUCUCCCCCAACACUCCCUUUUUCUCAUCUCUCCCAAACCGAUCCAACUCCCAUCAUCGGCGGCGACAUCAACCCUCGUCGGCGGCGGCUCCAUCUCUCACCGGCAUCCGAUCUACAACCUUCAACAAAACCUAGGUUAGUAAUUUUUCUUAUUUUCAUUAAUUUAAAAUGAGAUUUUAGAAUAAUAAUAGUUAUAGCUUGAGAAUAAUGGUGGUGGUGAUAAUGGUGGUGGUGUUUGUGGUGGUUGAUGGUGUUUGGGAGUAUUGUUUUUUGAUUUUGAUGUGGCUUAAUUUUGGGGAUGGAGAGGGAGGGGGGUACGGCGCGCGCGCGCGCCCAUCGCUGGGCAGCAGCGCGCGCCGAUGCGCGGCCCACUGUCGCACCAAAUCUGGUGCGAGAGCGCGCGCCCGCGCGCCUGUCGCACCAGCUUUGGUGCGACAGGCGCGCGCUGUCGCACCAAUUUGUUGGUGCGACAGGCGCCUGUCGCACCAGCUUUGGUGCGACAGGCGCGCGCUGUCGCACCAAUUUGUUGGUGCGACAGGCGCGCAUGUCGCACCAGCUUUGGUGCGACAGGCGCGCGCUGUCGCACCAAUUUGUUGGUGCGACAGGCGCGCAUGUCGCACCAGCUUUGNNNNNNNNNNNNNNNNNNNNNNNNNNNNNNNNNNNNNNNNNNNNNNNNNNNNNNNNNNNNNNNNNNNNNNNNNNNNNNNNNNNNNNNNNNNNNNNNNNNNGGUGCGACAUGCGCGCCUGUCGCACUUAAAAAUUAUAGUGUUUAUUAUAGUGUUUUUUUUUCCGAUUAUUUUUUUUUUCUGUAAACGUAAUGUAAUAAAUUUAUAAAUAUUACAGAUACAUGGCAAAAUCAGAAUCACCGGAUAUUGAUGUAGGCAAGAUGUAUUUUAGUUAUGCCGAUCACUUUCCUGGUCGAAUUUCGAGCAUGUGUAAGUUAUCUUCGGUCAUAAAAGCCAUCGAGGAAAAAUUAACAAAGCGGCAGUNNNNNNNNNNNNNNNNNNNNNNNNNNNNNNNNNNNNNNNNNNNNNNNNNNNNNNNNNNNNNNNNNNNNNNNNNNNNNNNNNNNNNNNNNNNNNNNNNNNNCUAUGUUCAAAAAGGAUAUAUUUGGGCAUUUCUUGGAGUGGUCGAAGUUUUCCAUUUAGUGGGGUAAUUGUGCACAAUCUUUGCUGAGGCAAGUGGCCCAUGAAGAAGAUAGCCGUGAGGAUCAGUUAUGGUUUCAAAUUGGUGAGCAUUUGAUUCGCUUGUCAAUUGUCGAAUGGUGCUUGGUUACUGGACUUUCAUUUGGUGUUGAUACCAAUCAAAAAAAUGAUCAAAUGGAGCAGAGGCUACGGAGUACGUAUUUUGGUGGAGUUCAUCGUAAGAUUAAUGUGAAGGAAUUCGAUGCAAUAUUUAAUGAGUUGAAAUUCGAGGAAUUGGACGAUAUGGACGCAUUAAAGAUUGCGCUGUUUUAUUUUGCGGACCGAGUACUAAAUGCAAGAAAAAAUCACUGUCAAAUCAAUUUCGAUUGGCUUGACCAAGUUGAUGAUAUACAGUACUUCCGAAAGCGUCCAUGGGGUCUGUUGUCGUGGGAAAUGAUUUACGAGAGUCUUGACAAUGCACUGUUCGAGAAAGACCAGAAAUUUCAGAAGACUCGGUCGAAAAAUCCAGAUCAUAACAUUGAAAAAUACAAUCUUUAUGGCUUUACGUCUGGGGUUCAGGUGCGUAUUUGUUUUUGUUUAUUAAUAAGUUUUAUAGUAUUAAAUAUUUGAUAUGUUGUUUUAUUUGAUUUUUUAAUUUGGUUGUUGUAGGCUUGGAUUUACGAAGCAAUCGGAGGGUUGCCAUCAACAUGGGUCGUCAAAACGAAGAAUAAGAUUCCCCGCAUUUUGCAAUGGAAGCCCAUGGCGUCUUCGAGAAUCAAUUUUGCCGAGGUUUAUUCGUUCUUCAACGACGAAUCUCGUCUUGUAAGUAAUAUGUAUUACUUAUUUUUUUAACUUUACUAAAUUUAAGUUAUGUAUACUUACUUAAAAUUUUCAAUUUAAUUUAUUGCAGGGGGACGUUUUACAAACUCUUGAGCCAAAUUCAAAGGAGAGUAGCAGAAAUUAUUGGGUCUCUGUGAAGGAUUACUUGCCAAGCAUUCCAGGCUGGGUUCUUAAGGUUGGUAUACUCUAAGUACUAAAAAUUUUUUAAUCGAAAUUUUUUACUUUUCAUUUAAUAAUUAUAAAUGAUACUUUAUACAGCACCAACACUCAAUCAACGCGAUGCCGUCGGUUACAAGGCAAUCAGACGAGCAUGACGAUCAUGACGACAAACCAAACCCAAUACCAGAGCAGCGUCAUGACACUUAUGAGGAUGAGGUGGCUGUUGAUGACCACCAGCAGCGUCAUGACACUUAUGAGGCUGUUGAUGACCACCAGCAGCGUCAUGACACUUAUGAGGCUGAUGAUGACCACCAGCAGCAAACAGACAACUCUGAUGACGCACGGGAAUCUGAGGUUAUAAAUAAUAUACGAUAUUGUUUCUUUAUAAAUUAUUUUUUUUUUUGUUAUUCUAAAGUUUUCUGUUUUUUCUUUUGUAAUAGUCGAGGACAAAGCAGUUUCAAGAUUACAUACAACGACGGCUGGAUAAGAUUGAUCGUAACGUUUACGAAAUAAAGUCAGAAUUAAAAGAUUUUAAAGAAACCGUUGUUGGCUUCAUCGACACAUUUUCUAAACGUCCAAAUAAGGAUUCUCCCACUGCACGCUCGUAUGCGGUGAGCAAAUUUUUAUUUAAUAAUUAUGUGCGUUUAACUUUUAAUUUGAUAGUUGUUUAAUAUGUUCUUCUCGGCGAAUGGACAGGCCCCGGAUGACUAUGGAGUGUAUACUAACGUGGGCAAUGAAAAUUUGUCUACGCCCACGUCAUUGUAUAGUUUCUACGGGGAUGUUAGUGGGGAGAGCGUGCAGGUGUUCUCGGAUGUGCCUCCCGGCGUUAGUAAGUUCGGCCGCGCGUACAUACCGUCGUAUGUUUAUAACAGUCCUUACAUGAUUCCUCCAGUCAGGCGAAGACAGAACGUCCGCCCUUUGCCUCGACCCCAAAUCUUGGAGCAUGCGAUUGACAUGAGUACGACAGUGGAUAUAAAUCCACUGAGAGGGUUGGAGGACUCUAGUAUGUUUGCUGAGUUUGAUCGAUGGUUCACUGGUGAUAGCAGAGUCUGCCGGAGAGUCCAGCACCCGCGGUCAUUCUUUCAAAUAAUCUUGGGGACAGCUUCGAUGGGAUGGCUAGGCGAUGAGGUAUUUAUAUUUUCGUCGUGAUGUAUACUGUUGUGGAUUUGUGUUUAAUUUUUUUUUAAAUCGUAAUAUUUCUGUUUCUCUACAGCAUAUUCACGAGUAUCUCCGCUUGAUUAGCGAGAAACAACGGCAGUACCCAAAUGCCUUACUCCAACGUGUCACACAUACUGACACAUUUUUUUGGGUAACGUGCAUACAAAUCGUAUAAAUACUAUUUAAUUUUGUUUUUCAUUAUUGCCUUUAAGUUCUGUUAAUGUAUGCAUUUCUUGGUUAUCUAUGUACUAGGUGUUCCUGAAUCAGUUAUGGAACAACGGGGAUUGUGCGGUCGAUUCAUUAGUAUUCGACGAUCGCGUGAAUAGUUAUCUUUGUGGGCGACAGCACACAAUGUCCAAAUCAAUGACGGAUGUCGAUAUGGUAUGUAUUUUGCUGCAAUUUAUAUACAAGUUGUCAAUUUUUCUUAGUUGUUUUUCAAUUUCAUAUAUAACCAACAUGUUUUUUAAUUUUUAUAUACAGUUACUCAUCCCUGUUAACUUGGACGGCGAGCAUUGGGUACUGGCACGAGUAGACUUUCGGAAAAACAAAGUCUGGAUUUAUGACUCAUUACUCACAUGCCGCGACGACAAAAGAUAUAGGUUGAAAUUCAAGCCACUUGAAGUUAUCUUCCCUCGAUGGUUGGAAUAUGUUGGGUUCUACAACAUCCGACCUGAGUUGCGGAGUGCCGACCCCUGGAAAGUUAUCGCAGUUAGGAGCGCGCCACAACAGGAGCCCGGAACUGGCGAUUGCGGUGUUUUUGUAUUGAUGGUUACGAUGUAUUUAAUGUUCGGGCUUGGAUUGGAGUUUAACGCUAGUCAUGUCGAGUACUUUAGAAAGAAGAUUGCGGUUGACAUAUUUAAUGACGAUAUUGUAUUGUAAACCGUUGUAGUAAUUUGAAUGUUUAAACUUGUUUUUUUUUAAAUUUGCGCACUUAAGUUUAUAUAAUUUUAAUGCUCACAUUUUAAUAUUUAAAAUCAAAUAAAGUUUUAUGAAAUAUAAGUGUACAAUACACAAAACACAAUAACAACUAACUUCGAGUCGACGCUAUGGGAUUCUUACAUCGCUUACGAUUAUGGCCCAGUUCAUGACACCGCCCGCAUCUAACAGUCCGCCUGUUAACGUCCUCGCCAGCCGAGGGUAUUCUGAGCUCUUUACGACGGCCAGGUGGUGGUGCCUCAACUGGUGGGUAUACUUGCAUCUCCACCAUUCAUCUGGAAUUCCCAAUCGNNNNNNNNNNNNNNNNNNNNNNNNNNNNNNNNNNNNNNNNNNNNNNNNNNNNNNNNNNNNNNNNNNNNNNNNNNNNNNNNNNNNNNNNNNNNNNNNNNNNNNNNNNNNNNNNNNNNNNNNNNNNNNNNNNNNNNNNNNNNNNNNNNNNNNNNNNNNNNNNNNNNNNNNNNNNNNNNNNNNNNNNNNNNNNNNNNNNNNNNNNNNNNNNNNNNNNNNNNNNNNNNNNNNNNNNNNNNNNNNNNNNNNNNNNNNNNNNNNNNNNNNNNNNNNNNNNNNNNNNNNNNNNNNNNNNNNNNNNNNNNNNNNNNNNNNNNNNNNNNNNNNNNNNNNNNNNNNNNNNNNNNNNNNNNNNNNNNNNNNNNNNNNNNNNNNNNNNNNNNNNNNNNNNNNNNNNNNNNNNNNNNNNNNNNNNNNNNNNNNNNNNNNNNNNNNNNNNNNNNNNNNNNNNNNNNNNNNNNNNNNNNNNNNNNNNNNNNNNNNNNNNNNNNNNNNNNNNNNNNNNNNNNNNNNNNNNNNNNNNNNNNNNNNNNNNNNNNNNNNNNNNNNNNNNNNNNNNNNNNNNNNNNNNNNNNNNNNNNNNNNNNNNNNNNNNNNNNNNNNNNNNNNNNNNNNNNNNNNNNNNNNNNNNNNNNNNNNNNNNNNNNNNNNNNNNNNNNNNNNNNNNNNNNNNNNNNNNNNNNNNNNNNNNNNNNNNNNNNNNNNNNNNNNNNNNNNNNNNNNNNNNNNNNNNNNNNNNNNNNNNNNNNNNNNNNNNNNNNNNNNNNNNNNNNNNNNNNNNNNNNNNNNNNNNNNNNNNNNNNNNNNNNNNNNNNNNNNNNNNNNNNNNNNNNNNNNNNNNNNNNNNNNNNNNNNNNNNNNNNNNNNNNNNNNNNNNNNNNNNNNNNNNNNNNNNNNNNNNNNNNNNNNNNNNNNNNNNNNNNNNNNNNNNNNNNNNNNNNNNNNNNNNNNNNNNNNNNNNNNNNNNNNNNNNNNNNNNNNNNNNNNNNNNNNNNNNNNNNNNNNNNNNNNNNNNNNNNNNNNNNNNNNNNNNNNNNNNNNNNNNNNNNNNNNNNNNNNNNNNNNNNNNNNNNNNNNNNNNNNNNNNNNNNNNNNNNNNNNNNNNNNNNNNNNNNNNNNNNNNNNNNNNNNNNNNNNNNNNNNNNNNNNNNNNNNNNNNNNNNNNNNNNNNNNNNNNNNNNNNNNNNNNNNNNNNNNNNNNNNNNNNNNNNNNNNNNNNNNNNNNNNNNNNNNNNNNNNNNNNNNNNNNNNNNNNNNNNNNNNNNNNNNNNNNNNNNNNNNNNNNNNNNNNNNNNNNNNNNNNNNNNNNNNNNNNNNNNNNNNNNNNNNNNNNNNNNNNNNNNNNNNNNNNNNNNNNNNNNNNNNNNNNNNNNNNNNNNNNNNNNNNNNNNNNNNNNNNNNNNNNNNNNNNNNNNNNNNNNNNNNNNNNNNNNNNNNNNNNNNNNNNNNNNNNNNNNNNNNNNNNNNNNNNNNNNNNNNNNNNNNNNNNNNNNNNNNNNNNNNNNNNNNNNNNNNNNNNNNNNNNNNNNNNNNNNNNNNNNNNNNNNNNNNNNNNNNNNNNNNNNNNNNNNNNNNNNNNNNNNNNNNNNNNNNNNNNNNNNNNNNNNNNNNNNNNNNNNNNNNNNNNNNNNNNNNNNNNNNNNNNNNNNNNNNNNNNNNNNNNNNNNNNNNNNNNNNNNNNNNNNNNNNNNNNNNNNNNNNNNNNNNNNNNNNNNNNNNNNNNNNNNNNNNNNNNNNNNNNNNNNNNNNNNNNNNNNNNNNNNNNNNNNNNNNNNNNNNNNNNNNNNNNNNNNNNNNNNNNNNNNNNNNNNNNNNNNNNNNNNNNNNNNNNNNNNNNNNNNNNNNNNNNNNNNNNNNNNNNNNNNNNNNNNNNNNNNNNNNNNNNNNNNNNNNNNNNNNNNNNNNNNNNNNNNNNNNNNNNNNNNNNNNNNNNNNNNNNNNNNNNNNNNNNNNNNNNNNNNNNNNNNNNNNNNNNNNNNNNNNNNNNNNNNNNNNNNNNNNNNNNNNNNNNNNNNNNNNNNNNNNNNNNNNNNNNNNNNNNNNNNNNNNNNNNNNNNNNNNNNNNNNNNNNNNNNNNNNNNNNNNNNNNNNNNNNNNNNNNNNNNNNNNNNNNNNNNNNNNNNNNNNNNNNNNNNNNNNNNNNNNNNNNNNNNNNNNNNNNNNNNNNNNNNNNNNNNNNNNNNNNNNNNNNNNNNNNNNNNNNNNNNCUCUUGGUGCGACAGGCUGCCUGUCGCACCUUCCUUGGUGCGACAGGCAGCCUGUCGCUCCUGUAGGCAGAAAUUUUUGGUGCGACAGGCAGCCUGUCGUCAGAUUCACCCACGACUCAGUUAAGCAAGUUCAGAAAAUAACACAUACCACUAAGUGAUGUCGAUUAGUGUUGGAUUCGGAUAGAUUAUGAUCGGAUUUCACCUUUACUGUUGUCUUUUGCCGUCGACGUUGGUUGAUGAUUAAGCUGCGUUUGGUUUGCCGAUAUGGGAGAAAGAUUGUUGCUUUUGAUCUGUAAAGAAGGGUAAUUUGGGGAGAAAGGCUUGUGUUUGGCUAAUGUUGAUAGAAAAAAGUUGAGAAGGUUAGUUGGGAAAAUAACAAAAUAUUUAUGGUUAUUUUCGUAAAUUUCCCAAACAGUUUUCAACUGAGAUUUGAAUUUUAAAAUUACAUACACAAACACACCUGAUUUUAAAGAAAAAAAUCAGUCGUCCUCUGUUCAGUCAUACACGCCCAAUUUAAAAAAAAAAAACUACUAAUAAAAUAUUUCAGUCGUCCUCUGUUGGGUCGUCAUCAAAAACCCAUUUACCAGCUAUUUCUUUUUUUUUUUUUUGAGAAGCAUUUACCAGCUAUUUCAACAUGCGGUAUAUAGAAUAUUUCAGUCGUCCUCCGUUCAACCAUCAAAAGUCUCAUCUAUAUAUAGUAACAUCAGGUAUAUGGGUUAACAAGUCCCAAUAUUGUCCUCCAUCCUUUCUGCACUUCUCUUCUAUCAACGGACAUCCCCAGAUGUCUAAUUGCAAAAGUGAGGAAGGCAGGCCCUUCUCCGGAAAGUAUUUGAGUUUGGGACAAUCCCCGAGAUACAAUGAAGCGAGGUUUUGAAGAUCAACAAUUGAAGAAGAUAGGCGUUCCAGAUUUGGAAAUCCAGAAAUCCACAGAGAUGUUAGAGAGGCAGGAAGAGGAAGCGCGGUCCCUAAUCUUUUGUCAUCUGCCUUUGGUGGAAAUGACACCAUGUCGUCAUCACAAUUAAUGAUUGUAAGUUGUCGCAGAGAGGAGAAUCUGUGAAAUCCCCGGCCCCGCUCAAUCAUUGACUUCCAAAUCUCCAUAUUACCCUCAAUCGUCAGUGACUGAAGGUUGGUGGGAAGGCCAUCUUCUUUAAGGCUUGGAAGCUCAACUCCUCUUCCUAUUGUUAAUUCUUGAAGAGAGGUCAGAUUGUGCAAUCCCUUGGGUAAGGCCUCUAGUCUCUUACAACUAGAUAUCUCCAGCCUCGUGAGUUUCGCACAAGGCAAUCCCCCUUCGGGAAAGGACACCAGAUUUCCACACCUUCUAAUACUAAUCUCUUGAAGCUGGCGGAGAUUAUGUAAACCACUCGGUAAAAUUUUCAGAUUUUCACACCACAAAAUACCGAUUGUUUCAAGAGAUGUGUUGUUGUCCAACCUUUCUGCUAUUGACUCCAGCUUUGAACAACUCCAAACAUCAAGUACCUUAAGAGACGGAGGCAGAUUGCCAACUUCAAGGGACUCAAGCGUGGCAGGUAACUCGUUUUUUGAAAAUAUACAUGUCAGAGACGGACAACUCUCAAUGUGUAAGUGCUCAAGAAGAGAUGAGGUGUACCUUCUGCUGCUGCUACUCUGGAUGCCCUCUUCCACUGUCAAAGUCCUUAUAUUAUCGCACUUGUGAAUC